rnacentral:lncRNA from 1 species
AGUUUGAAUGUAGAAAUUUCCCACUCGAACAUGCACAUCUUCCGCCAAACCCACCGGGUAUCGCACAGAGCGAUCGGCUAGAAUCAAAGAGAUCCUUGAUGGCUUGAAAUCGGUAAUGCCUAGACGCUUUGACACAGAAAAAGGCAUCAAGUUAACACCAGCUCCCAAAUCGCAAAGACAUCUCUCAAAUAUGGACUUCCCAAUCCGGCAAGGCAAAACAAAACUCCCUGGAUCAUCGAGCUUCUCAGGAAUAGUGACUGGAAGGAUGGUGCUGGAAGUGCUGACCAUCUCUUUCCCUGCUACCACCUCUAAAGCAUCACUGAGUUGUACCUUGCUUUGUUGUCUCUGAGACUCCUCCAGCUCAGCAUACUCCUUACUCUUAGAGAUCAACAUAACUCCUUCCUCAAUGCUCCUCUUGUUGGACAAGACAUCUUUCAGGUAAUUUCUGUAGGUUGGAACGUGGAGAACCAACUGUAAGAAAGGAAGUCUCACAUACAACUGUUUCAUGAUCUGAUCAAAGCGUGCAUACUCUUUCUGUUUCUGAAGCUGUUUCUCACGGCCUGGAAAUGGAAGCUUAGGAACAUAGGAUGGCGGCUCCACAUAUAAAGGUUCAUCAACCUUUCCAAUCUUGUCCUCUACAGGUGUCUUAACAACAAUAGUUUUAGCUUCCUCCUGUUUGGCAACAUCAAUCUCUCUGGGCUCUUCCUGAAUCAUAAUUGCAUAACAAUGUUCCUUACCCUUGGAUUCUACUUUCCCAGGAUGAGCACCGGUUGGUCGUGUAGAGGCUUUAGAUAUUUGAGCAACCUGACUCUCAAGAGUCUUGACAUGUGAGGAUAGCGUUGUAAACUUUCCAUUGAGAUCAUUGUACAUGCUAUCCACCUUUACAUUGAUCUCAGCAGCAUUCUUCUUCUGACCUUCAAGAAUUUGCUUCAUCAUCAAUUUUAUCUCAUUAUCUCUAGAUGUAGAUGCAUGAGUGGUACUUGCAGGAGGUUGGAAUUGUCCCUGGUAGCUCCCUUUAGUCUGAAAACCGUGACUAGGCUGAAAUUGUUGACCUUGUGACUCUGCCUGAGUCGGAUACACCUGAUCUUGAGGAUUUUCGACAUUGAGUACUCCUGUAAGAAAGGUUAGGAUGGUUCCGGUAAUUCUGAUUAAACCCUCUGUUCUGAUAGUUGCCAUACCCAUUCACGAAAUUCUACUCUGCCUGUAGAUCGUCAGAACCGUCUCCGCUAAACUCUUGAUGCACUGGACCUUUACCCAAAUCCUCGCAGUAGUUGACAACCCGCUGAUCUCUCAUGAGGAGCUGCUCAACCUUAGCUGUCAACUCAACAAUCUGCUUUGAUUCUCCUCCUCCACCUCUGUACGACCUGUCAUAGACAACAUUGUGGUUACUGUUACUGGCUGCCAGAUUCUCAAUAAGCUCUAUAGCUUCCUCCUCAGUCUUGGUCAUAAAAUCCCCAUUACUAGCAGUAUCUAGUGCCAUCAUGUAGUCUUUGUCGACUCCUCUGUAGAAAGUAUUGAUCAAAGUGGCACGUGGAAAGCCGUGGUGGGGACAUUCCCUGUAGGAAUCUUUGAACCGUUCCCAAGCUUCAUGGAACGAUUCUGUACCAUGCUGCUGAAAAGAAGAGAUCUUGUUCCUCAGAAUGGCUGUCCUGGACUGAGUAAAAUACUGUGACAGAAAUGCAGCUUUAUAGUCUUUCCAGCUUCUUAAAUUCUCAGUGUUCAAAGACUUCAACCAGCGAUGGGCUUUGUCAGCUAAGGAGAAUGUGGAAAGUCUGCAUUUGAUGAUAUCAUCAGGUACUCCAUUCAUUCUUGUUGUACUGCAUAUAUCCUCGAAGUUAUCUAAAUGGUAGACUGGAUUCUCUGAGGUGAGACCAUGGAACUGAUUCUGCUUCACCAAAGAUAGCAACCCUAUCUUGAUCUCAAAAUCAUUCCUAUUGAUUGGCAGCUAUUGGUUCCUGUCUCGAAAAUGCACAACAUUAGGAGCAUCAUGAUCUCUCAAAGUCUGUCGAGCAGGCGCGGGCCUAGCAUUUACUGCAGCUAAACGAGCGGCAUUAGCAGCAGCCACACGUUCAACAGCUACACGGGCAGCGGCAGCUUGUUCACCAGCAGCAGGAGCAUUGUUGUUUGCAUGAGGUGGAGGUCCUGAAACACUCCUUAAUGAUCACCUCCAAGUGGGAGUUCAUCCCUAUUCUGAAGAUUUCCUGCAGCAUCAAAUUCAGCCAUUUCAGCUUCUCUCUGCUCGGCUAUCUUCUUCUUUUUCUUAUUCGCUCUUUCAAAUUUUCCGAUAUUCUCUUGGUAAUCCGCUAGAUGUGACGAGCCUUGGCUGCGGGUCAUACACCUGAAAACACCAAAGAGAAAACGAAAACGAAAAUUAGUAACAGAAAAUAAAAAUGCUUUAGACUAAAAGCUAAUCCUAAAUCCUUAGGUAACGCAAUUGGUCCCCGGCAACGGCGCCAACUUGAUUGCUCGAGUAAUUAACUCAAUAAACUUAACCGUUAGGCAGUAUAUUCGAGGUCGAUCCACAAGGACCAAAGAUACUCUAAGGAUUUCCAAGACUCGUUCUUAGCUAAAGCUAAAAGAUUGUUUUGUUUGGGUUUUCAGAAUUAUAAAAUAAAAAUGCAAAUAAAUUAAAUGAUUAAACUUAUGAAUUUAAAGACAUUGGGCCAUAGGGUAUUUCAGAGAUCAAUAAAUAAUGGAAACAUUAGACAAGGAAUUCAACAAUUAAGCGCCGUUCUUGAACAUGAACACAUUUAGACUAAUUCUCUUUCAAGACAUUAAUCACUAAAUUUGACUAUUCGAUUACUAAACUUUCGCAUGUAAUUUCCUAGUCAAAUUCGCAUUAUCAAACAAGUUCAUUAAGUUCACAAUGCGUCCUAACGUCAAAUUUCGUUGGCUAGAAAUACAUUGCUCAAUUCACAUUCUUUCAGGCAUUCUAUCGAACACUUUUGAUGCAUAGAAAAACCUAGACUCUACAACAGGGUGAUCAAUCCUAUUCUAGCAUUAAGAACAUGUGAAUCAAAGAACCUAGAGAAUAAGAACUCCUAAUAUCAAUCAAUCCAUUAAUCCAUUGAAUCUCCUAAUUAGAACCCUAAAACCCAAUUGAGAAACUACUCACACAUAGCAACAGAAACAAGACAAAUAAAUGAAGAAGACAUAAUUGAAUUGCAAUGAAAAUAAGAAAAUAGGGUUUAGAAAUCUUCUCCAAAGUGUCAAAGAGGAUGAAUCUCUAGAAUCCCAAAAAGCUUACAAGAGAGAAGUCUCAAAAGUUGCAGAAAAAGAACGUCAAAAGAAAAUUAGGUCUCUGGGGUUUUUAUACCCAAGUACAAAAAAAGGAAGACAAAACCCGGUUUAGGAAAACCGUCUCGGGACGUCGAGGCUCGGAUCGAUCGAUCCCAUGGGUGGAUCGAUCGAUCCCAUGGGUGGAUCGAUCGAUCCAGAUAUGCUGAAUCAAUUGGUCUUGGACGGAUGAUGCUGGAUCGAUCGAUCCCCCCUGGGAUCGAUCGAUCCCGAAGCUCCUGGAGUCAAGCUCUGCACCUGCUUCAAAUGCUCGCCAGAUUGACCUGUCUUCACUAAUUUGGGUAUAAAUCUUGAAUGCACCGUUAGAUUUCCUUCAAUCCACUUGGAAAAUCAAGCUAACAUCUUCAUCUAGCUUGUGUCAAAAAUUCAGAAAGAUUUAACUGUGGGAAGUCUUCCAUCUGAGGCCAAACAUUUGAUACUUCUAACCGAAACUGCAUCUCCAAAUGUGUGUUUAUAUCCCAAAACAGCUCGUUUUCCUCCGAAGCAACCUAAAACCUGUAAAGACUCGAUAAAAGACUAAAAGACUCUAAAAACACACUUUGACUCUUUAAAAUAUAUGAUCUAGGAAAGAAAACAAAGACUCAAAACCGAUAAAAACACAACAUAUCAAUUGGUUCGAUUUUUUUAGCCUUGAUUCCAGUUUGGUACUUUCGAUUCGGUUAAUUUGCCAACAUCUAACUGGAAGUGACAAAAUAAUUUUUAUUAGUGCUUUUUUGUUGUUGUAUAAUUUAGUUUAGAUCUCAAUACUGGUACAUAAUAUUUGUGUAUAUAAUGAUUUAGAUAAAUAUAGUUAUUUUUGUUAUUAAAUAUUUGUCUUCAGCUCACAUUUUCUUCAAUUCAUCCAAGUCAAUAUUUCCUUGAAAUUGACUUCGAAAGACAAAAUGGAGGUCAUCGUCAAAUAAUAUCGCAUAUACGAGUUGACAUCUAAGGACAACCACAAUUGUGGGAUCUCUUAAUCACUAUUUAAGGGUCCUCCUACCUAUUAAGCAUGGUCAUAAACAUGCUUCUUGCCUUAAUGGAUCAUAAAAAUUAAGUUGUGGAGUCCUUAGCUGUUGAAAGAUGGGAGAGGUUAUCGGGUUUAGAGGAGGGUUUUCUGAAACAAAAAUCAAAGUUGCACUGGUUAGAUGUGGGGGACAAGAACAAUAAGGCAUUUUAUAAUGCUAUAAAGGAAAGAAAUACUCAAAACUCUAUUCAUGAGAUUUUAGACCCUAAUGGCAUUUGUCUUAAGAGUAUGGAGGAAAUAAAAGCAGAAGGGGUUCGGUUUUUCUCGGAACUAUUGACAUAUAAACCGUCGGACUAUGUAGGUAUUGAGGUUGAUGAUCUUCGAGAGCUGCUUCCCUAUCGCUGUCCUCCGGCAAAGCGGGAUCAUCUUCUUGCGGAUGUUACGGUGGAUGAGGUGAGAAAGGUUUUGUUUUCUAUGCCUACAAAUAAAUCGCCGGGACCGGAUGGUUACACAGUGGAGUUCUAUAAGGCAGCUUGGUAUUGGAAGUGAUUUCACAGUUGCAAUACAAUCUUUCUUCAAGUUUGGUUUCUUGCCGAAAGGACUAAACGCGACAAUUCUAGCUCUUAUCCCAAAGACGAUAGAUGCACGGGUGAUGAAAGAUUAUGGACCCAUUUCUUGCUGCAAUGUGGUGUAUAAGACUAUCUCAAAAAUAUUGGCUAAUCGGUUAAAGACCAUUCUCCCCGAUUUCAUUGCUCCGAAUCAGUCAGCGUUUAUUGAGGAUAGACUUCUAAUGGAAAACUUACUACUUGCUACUGAAUUGGUGAGAGAUUAUCACAAGGAAGGUGUGUCUUCUCGUUGUGCGAUGAAGAUAGACAUUUCGAAAGCUUUUGUUUCCGUACAAUGGGAUUUUUUGUUGAAUGUGCUCGCAGCAAUGGACCUACCAGAACAAUUCAUUCACUGGAUUUCUCUAUGUAUAUCAACGGCCUCUUUCUCUGUUCAAAUAAAUGGAGAGCUUGCUGGUUUUUUCAAGAGUGAAAAGGGGUUGAGACAGGGAUGCUCUCUCUCUCCAUAUCUAUUUGUGAUCUGUAUGAAUGUUUUAUCAUCUCUACUUGAUAAGGCUGCGGUGGAAAAAAUAUUUGGUUUUCACCCGAGAUGCAAAAAUAUGAAGCUUACACACUUAUGUUUUGCAGAUGACAUAAUGGUUUUUACGGAUGGUAGAGCAGCCUCUAUGGAAGGAAUUCUCGAUGUUUUCAAGGAUUUUCACAAGAUCUCAUGAUUGAGUAUAAGUCUUGAGAAGUCAACUCUGUUCUUAGCUGGUAUAUCUGCUCAUAACAAAGUUGAGAUUCUAGCCAGAUUUCCUUUCGACUCUUGUGCAUUACCAGUCCGCUAUUUGGGAUUACCUCUGCUAACAAAGCGGAUGACUCUAUCUGAUUGUCUUCCAUUGCUUGAAAAAAUAAGAGGCCGGAUCAGUUCAUGGAAAAACAGGUUUCUAUCCUUUGCGGGAAGAUUACAACUACUACGUUCCGUGAUCGCAAGUCUUACCAACUUCUGGAUUGCUGCAUUUCGAUUACCUUCAGCCUGUGUAAGGGAAAUAGAAAAGAUAUGUGCUGCAUUUUUGUGGUCGGGUCCGUCUCUCAACAUAAAGAAGAUCAAGGUAGCAUGGAGGGAUGUUUGUAAGCCAAGAGAUGAAGGUGGUUUGGGGCUCAAAUCUGUGGUUGAAAUAAAUAAGGUAAGCUGUUUUAAGCUCAUUUGGCGGAUAGUCUCAAAUCCAAAUUCUCUCUGGGUAAAUUGGAUAAAAAGAGAACUCAUUCGAUCAGGUUCAUUCUGGUCUGUCAAAGAAACCACCUCUUUGGGCUCUUGGAUGUGGAAGAAGUUGCUCAAAUACAGAUCGCAGGCCAAGGUUUUUCACUCAAUGGAAAUUAAAAGUGGGUUACAAACAUCCUUUUGGUAUGAUCACUGGUGCUCUCUUGGUCGAUUAUAUGAUAUUCUUGGAGUGCGGGGUUUCAUUGAUUUUGGAGUUUCCUCUAAAGUUACGGUUGCUGCAGUCCUAGCAAAUCACAGAGCUAGGCACCACCGUCUAGAUAUUUUAAAUCAAGUAGAAGCGGAGCUAGAGAGACUUCGAAGCAAGGGACAAUACCUUGAUCCGGAUGUAUCCUUGUGGAGAAGACCAAAUAACAAGCUCAGAUCACGGUUCAUCACUUCUGAAACUUGGAAACAACUCCGAACUGCAGGGCCAAAAAUAAGCUGCGCUAAGAGUGUUUGGUUCCCGGACUCUAUUCUGAAACACUCUUUCCUGCUAUGGCUUGCGGCAAAAAACAGACUAGCCACGGGUGAGUGUAUGGUCUCUUGGAACAGGGGAGUGAAUCCGUCAUGUGUUCUUUGUCAAGCUCCGAUGGAGACACGAGAGCACAUUUUCUUUUCUUGUGUCUUCUCUUCGCGAGUCUAGGAGGAGCUGGCAGGUCGACUUCCUCAACAACGCUACACUACCAGUUUCAUAGAGGUACUGAAUCUUCUAUCCAACUCCACAAUCACAUGCACGGUUGGCUUCAUUCUUCGCCUUCUUUUCCAAGCUACUACCCACUCUAUUUGGAUAGAGCGGAACAAACGAAGGCAUGGCGAAUUACCAAGUACUGCAGAUCAGUUAAUCAAGUUGAUUGAUCGAUUGAUACGCAAUAAAAUCUCAUCUAUCCGGCGACAGGAUCCCCGUAAACACGAAGAUGGCCUUCGUGUAUGGUUUGAGUCCAGAAGCUAACAUUAUUUUCUUUUAUUUCGGAUACAGUUCAAAAACAAGUUUGAAUUAAGGUUGCAUUCAUUGUAAAAACGUUUUUUUGGUUGAAUAAAUUUUACAUUCUUUCAAAAAAAAAAGAAUUAAGUAGUGGAUGUCAUGGUUUUGAAACCAAACGAAGCUCCAUGAGACCUCGAAAACUAGUGGAUUAACAACGCAUUAGUUGAUUUCUAAAAUAAGCUAACAACUGAUCCAAUCUUGCAAGUAUGCAACUCACAACUAAGUCAUCAUAACAUAAAAGUGGAAACUAGUUUGAAGAUCCAAUAUGUAAAAUAAAGAGUUCGUAACUACAAGAUAUACAUUAGCUAUGUAUAUCCCGCAUUAACUGGUUAAAGGAAGCCGAUUUGAAUACUUCUUACUUUCACAAAAUCUGUUUGUCGAGAGCAAGUUUCAACACCAUCAGAUCUUUCAUGCUGCACUCCGGUGACCUUAUUGUUGAUCCGAUUGAUAUGAGCCUUCACGCAAUCUCUCACUUUAAGUCCAUUUUGGCUCCAGAGCUUCUGCAAAGGCCCUCUCUCCCGUCUUCUCAAGAGUGGUUCGAUCAGGUGCUUGAAUCCUUUCAGAUGCUCUCAGUUACAGUCCCAUUCUUUGACUGCUGCUCCAAGCUCCUUGGAGAUCUCAAAGGUAAUUUUCAAGCUAAACCCAAACAAAGCACCUGGUCCUGAUGGGUUGACUUCUGGUUUCUACAAGUCUGCUUGGGGCACGUUGGGUGCUGAGGUUGUUGCCUCAAUUUGCCAUUUCUUCCACACAGCUUUUCUUCCAGCUUCAACAAAUGCUACCAUCCUGACUCUUGUGCCUAAGCGACCUGGAGCCUCAAAAAUUGAAGUCUUCCAACCAAUCUCUUGUCUGAAUACUCUCUACAAAGUGGUCUCAAAGCUUUUAGUGACCAGGAUUAAACCAUUAUUACCGUCUCUUAUUCUCCCAAACCAGACUGCUUUUGUUAAAGACAGGCUUCUACUGGAAAAUACUAUAUUGGCUGCGGAAAUAGUGCAUGGCUACCACAAAGCUGCAGGUCCAAAAAGAAUAGUCAUCAAGAGUGAUAUUGCAAAAGCUUUUGACACUCUCUCCUGGGAAUUCUUAUUUGGCUAUCUACAGGGGCUUGAUAUUCCUGACAUUUACUUAAGAUGGCUCCAAGCUUGUAUCUGUAUAACAAACUUCACUAUUGGUUAUAAUGGAAUGGUUCAUGGUUAUUUCAAAGGUAAAAGAGGGCUUAGACAGGGUGAUCCCCUCUCUCCUUACCUUUUUGUGAUAGCCAUGAACAAUCUCUCUUUGAUGUUGAAUAAGGCAGCUGAGGAGGGGAAGUUCAAGUACCAUCACAACUGUGACAAAGCCAAGCUCACCCAUCUCUGCUUUGCUGAUGACCUUCUUAUCUUCCUUGAUGGUUCUCUUUCUUCGGUGCAGAAUGUCCUUAAUGUUCUUCAUGAAUUUGAGGAGAGGUCGGGUCUUGCUGUUAGCAUUCAAAAGACUUUGUUUUUUGCUGGUGGUCUAACUGAGGGUGAGAUCUCCCAAAUCAAUUCUGCCACUGGACUGACCCUUGGCAGCCUACCGAUGCGCUAUCUUGGGGUCCCUCUGUGUACAAAAAAAUUCACUUUACAAGAAUGCGAACCUCUUCUCCAACAAGUUAAAGGAAAAAUCAACAAUUGGUGUGCUAAAUACUUAUCUUUUGCUGGCAGGUUACUUCUCAUUAAUACAGUUAUUGCAGGAAUUUCCAACUUCUGGUGCUCUACUUUUGUGCUCCCAAAGCUGUGCAUAAAAAAAAUUAACUCUCUUUGUAAUGCUUUUCUAUGGAAAGGAAGCCUAGAAGGACAUUACACUGCUAGAGUUUCUUGGGAUACUGUAAUUAAACCAAAGGAUCAAGGUGGACUAGGUAUUAGAGAUCUUACUGUCUGGAAUCGUGCCUGCUCCAUCAAGCUUAUUUGGCUCCUGUUUUUCCAAUCUGGUUCAGUGUGGGUGGCCUGGUUUAAACAUCAUUUCCUGCGGGGGUCAUUGAAUAAUUUUUGGACUAUGAAGCAAAGACCUACUUACUCAUGGAUGGCCAAUAAGUUAUUGAAAAUCAGAGAGGAUGUGUAUAAGUGGAUUAAGUUAAGAGUUGGUAAUGGUGUUACCUGCAGAUUUUGGUCUGAUAACUGGUCACCUUAUGGAAGGAUUUCGGAGUACUUCGGGUCUGCAAGGAUGUCAAGACUGGGGAUAAGGAAUGAUGCAACUUUGCACCAACUCUACAAUAAUGGGCGUUGGCUCCUUCCUCAUCCUAGAACUGAUCACCAGGUUACUCUUCAGAUUUAUCUCACUACUGUCUCACUCUCUGAUGUUGAUGAUCAUUAUGAAUGGGAAUUGGAUGGCAAAAUUUAUCAAAGAUACUUUACGGGCCUGGUCUACAGAAAUCUUCGAGAGCUUUCGCCUCUGGUUCCAUGGAGAAAGGCCGUCUGGAUUUCUGGUGGUGUCCCGAAACACUGUUUCCUCACCUGGUUACUAGUUUUAAAUCGCUGUCCAACUAGAGAUCGAAUUCUUGGCUGGGGUUUUCAAACGGAUCCGGCUUGUCUUCUCUGCAACACUUCGGAGGAAAGCCGCGAUCACAUUUUCUUCAACUGCGGUUUGUCUUGGUCGAUCUGGUCUUCUAUUGCUAUGUGAUGCAAGCUUCAUCCACUGAGAUCUUGGGAAGCUACUGUAUGUCAGAUGCAGGCUCUUCACGGCUCAAAGGAAUCGAUCAGAUUGAGUCUCCUUGCUUGGCAAUGUACUUUAUAUUUCCUCUGGGGAGAAAGAAACAACCGGCUUCAUCGCCAAAACUUCAGAUCUGCUGAGUCCAUCCUCAAACUGAUUGAUUUUGUUGUUCGUAACAGGAUCUCUUCUUACAAAGACCAGAACCCCGCUCUUUCUUCUGCGAUGCUUCAACUUUGGCUCUCAACUUCAUAACUCUGUUCUUCUAGAUGAUUCACUAUUCCAUUGCCUAGGUUACCCUACGAUCUAGGUUCACCCCUAAGUUCCAAUUGUGUGUGUGUUUCAUAUUUUCUGGGCUGUGCCCUUCUUGUUUGGGCUUCGGCCUUGUAAAAACUCUAAAGUCGGGCUGGGCUUUUGUAUCUUUUUAUUUCCUUAUGCAUUUAAAUAGAAAGCCUUUUUCAAAAAAAACUACAAGAUAUACAUAAAUAUCCAUUGAGUUGUAUAUGGUAAAGAAGAAAUUGAUGGUUUGUACUUGCUAUGCGAUAGUAGUCAUAUAAUCGAGAAUUGUUUCACUACACAUUUUCUAAAUUUGAUAUUAAAAAUAAAACCUCAUUAGUUAUAAAUAUAUAUAUACAACAUAUUACAUAUAGAAAGUAAUAAAAUAAUGGAAUAUUUAAAUGUUUUUUUUCAAUUAUGUCAAUUCUGAUCUUACCCGGAAUUUAUUUGACAUAAUUCGAAAAGAUUUUGUGUUCAUGAAAAAAUUUGUUUUUUUUUUUCACUUCGCAAAGUAAAUUAUAGUCUGAAAUACAACAUAUUUGUAUUAGAAAUUACAAAAUUAGUCAAAUUUAUCGAUAAAUUAAUAUUUUUAUAGCAUCAUUAUCAAAUUGAUGAAUUAAAAUAUGUGAGUGAUAGACAAUAUAAAAAAAUUAAUUUAGUAAUUUUUAUAGUCUAUAACAAAUUAAAAUUUUUCCAAAAUCUUUAUAAUUUUAAAAUUUAUGAAUCUAUGAUCCAAGUAUUUUAUUUUGUAAUAUUUUUAGUUAUUAUCCUGAUAAAAAAUAAAAUAAUGAUUCGAAACGUGUCAUAUUUUUAGUUAUUUUUAGCACACCAUUUUUGAUCACCUUCGCAUCUUUGUCAUCAUCUCUCAGAUAAUAAUAAUAAAUUUUCAGCAUAUACAUUCAUAUAUUCGCAAAAAAACCUUUUAAUAUAUAUAUAUAUAUUUUUUUUAAGUUUUACGCAAAUCUCUUUCUCUCUGCAUCUCCAGAUUUUGGAAUCAUCAUCAUCAAUGUGAUCAAAGCAUCUUCAUCGUUGUAUCGCUUCUUUAGUACUUCUCGACGAGGUUUCGUGAGAUUUCUCCGAAAUCGGUGAUGCCUUUAACGAGGUCAAAGAGUCUGCCGGCGACGGAGAACGGUGGAUCCGAUUCGGGAAGAUCAGUGGCUGGGAUUCUCUAUAAAUGGACUAAUUAUGGAAAAGGAUGGAGAUCUAGAUGGUUCCUCCUCCGCGAUGGAAUCUUAUCGUAUUCCAAAAUCCGAAGACCGGAGAAUGUGAAUCUGUUAUCUCCUUCCGAUGAUGUGAAGUUAAUCGGAGAUAUUUCCACCGAUCGUUUCUCGAGAAUGAAGAGUUGUAGUGGCCGUAGUCGUCGGAAACAUCACAAAACCAUCGGCAUUGUUCAUCUCAAGGUAUAUAGAUACAUUCAUACUUCGAUUUCAAAUGUUGUGGUUGAUUUAUGAAAUUGCAAUAGUUAGAUUUUUUUGUUCUUAUCCUGAGAGAUGAUCUAUUUUCAUGAUUUAUAUGAAUACCUUAUUUACAAUCAUACUUACAUCGGAUAAUUUGGCGCGAAAAGUUCGUACUCAAUAUUCCUCAGCAUUGGCUUAUAUGAAUUAAUCUAGUAUUUUUGAUGACAAAAAAAAAUCACAAGUAGAGUAAAGAACCAGUUGCUGUGAAACAGAGUAAAAUCCUAAAUGUGAUUUUUUCUGACUGAGGAAAGUACUAUUAUUAGCAUCAUCUUCUUCUUCUUCUUCUUCUCCAUUGCUUGUACUUGUGUAGUUUGUCUUUAUGCAUUUCAAUUCUUGUUUGUAUUAUUAUCUUCUGUAUUAUAGUUUAGAGAACCUCUCUGGUUUCUGAAAAGUUUUUGACUAGCUGCUUAUCUGUAGUGGGCCACAACAACAGGUAUUGCAGUAGUUGGGGUCUCAAAGUUCAUUACACAAAAAACAAAUAGCCAAAAUACAAACAAAAUUUUGGCUGGUGCUACCAGACCAGGGUCUCAAUUUUGUUGAACACAUUACAGUCACUAACACAAUUUACAUUUGUUAAAAUUUGGUUUAUUUAGUAGUAAAGCCAAGAAGUGUAGAAAUUUGUCAACUUUGGUCACAUGUAAAAACUCUUUAUCUUUUGAUUUUUUUGUUUGUUCCUUGAUUUUCUUUCCACGCAUGGGCCAGUUCAUCAUUGACCAGUAGGUUUAGUUAUACCUUUUAUCAUUGGUGAAUGGUAGGUGUAGCUAGUCGGUAGGAAAUAAUCAAGUGUGGAUAAAUAAUGGAGUGUGGCUGUGUGGGAGCUGAAGGCCACCUCUUGGGGAAAUUCUAGCCAUAUGUUUUUUUUUUUGUUAACUUGUAAGAGUUAUAUUUGCUUAAUCUAAAUACUCCAAAGCUUAUACAGACAUAAGCUUUGAGUCUAUUUUUUUCUCUGGGUAAUUGCAUUCUUUUGUUUUCCAGCAGGUUUCAUCUUACCGAGAAAGCAAAUCUGAUCAUAGAAAGUUUUAUAUCUUUACUGCAACCAAGACUCUGCAUCUGAGGACUGAUUCUAGAAGUGAUAGAGCAGCAUGGUUACAAGCUUUAGCAUCUACUAGAGGCAUAGUUCCUCUCCAGUCAAUCAGUGGGGAGUCUCCUUCGUAUCACCAAAGGAUUUAUUCAUAUCUACAGAGAGACUAAAGAAACGGUUGCUUGAAGAGGGAAUGAACGAGAGUCUUGUAACAGAGUGUGAACAGAUUGUGGAUUCAGAGUUCUCUGAAGUUCAAGAACAGAUUAAACUUCUCCAUGAAGAACGGACAAAGUUGCUUGAUGUAUUGAGGCAGCUAGAGGUAAAGCUAAAUUCUUGCUUUUCUUCUGUGAUCGUUUUUGUUUUAGUGUGGUCUUGCCCAUUGUUUCGUUUCUUAUGAUGACUUAGUAUUCCACUGGCUUUACGUUACAGUAGCAUUGGUAACACCUGAGCCUAUGCACAAAGGCAUGUUAUGAUUGUUGUGAACCUUGCGAAAGAUCCCUUGCCGCUUUUUAUAAUUUGUUAAAGAUGAUUUUGUUUCACAUGUAUUCAGCUAUAUCCUUGUUGGCUAUUCUACAGUGAGAGUUUCUUUGUGUACAGAUGGCCAACCUUGAAGCUGAAACCUCAGGGAUCCAUGACAAUGUCUACCAUUUAAGAAAUCAUAAGUAUUCCAGCUUAGGACGUGGAAAAUAUAGUGGUACACAAAAUUUAUGUCGCUUAAUUGUUCUCCUAUUCACUGCAUCUCUGUCUCUUUCUCUGUUUCAGUUUUGCCAUUAAAUAUUCAUGAAGCAAGCUGCCUAGGAUCUCGUUAGUGCAGAGAAGAGCAAUAAUUUCUUAUACGAUAUUCUACUAGCUUUUUUCUUAAUGUUCCUUCUUAUGCUUCUUUUACAUAGCUUCAGUGGACUUGCAUAGAGCUUCCUGUGUUGUUUUGCUUGACAAUAUUUAGUUUCUAGAAUGCAGUACUAGUGCUUCAUCUGAUGAUAAGCAAGAGUUUGAGGAUAUCUCUGAGGAAGAUGAGGCUUCCUUCCAUGACACAAAGGAGUCAUUUAGUGAACCUGAUGUUGGUUCUGUGUACACACAUUUCAAGAGACGAACAAAGCUUCCUGAUCCAGCAGAGAAAGAGAGAGGUGUCAGUCUCUGGUCUAUGAUCAAAGACAAUGUUGGAAAGGAUCUCACACGAGUUUGUCUUCCUGUUUAUUUCAAUGAACCAAUAUCUUCCCUCCAAAAGUGUUUUGAAGACUUGGAGUACUCUUAUCUCUUGGACCAAGCAUAUGAAUACGGAAAAUCCGUAAGUGAUUUAAAAACUUAUUGUUAUAUGUAAUUUUCAUCCAUCUGGAAAUGCAAACGUUUUCUCUACUCUAUACUUAUGUUUACUUCCUUUACUAAAGAUUUUGAAUACGUAGCUUCCAUGAUAUCUGGUCUAUACUUAUGUUUUUAUCUUGAAUUGACCUCUCAGCUUCUUGUAUUAACAGAGUUUUUCAUCAUCAGGGGAACAGUCUCCUUAGAGCCCUGAAUGUCGCUGCUUUUGCGGUCUCUGGUUAUGCUUCCACCGAAGGACGACACUGUAAACCUUUCAACCCUUUACUUGGAGAAACUUAUGAAGCUGACUUUCCUGAAAAGGGAAUUCGUUUCUUCUCUGAGAAGGUAAUAUCAUACAUGUUUAACUAAAGUUAUAAGAUGAACAUAAAUGUCAGUUUUCUGAGACUGAUAAAUGGUCAAUAAACAAAAUCGGUGAUUCAUGCAGAAGCUCUCUGAUUCAGGAGCAGCUCUGUAGUACUCUACACAUGUUUAUAUGCAUGUAAUUGACACUCAGCUUCACACGUAUCCGGAUUUUAAAAAGUGAAACAUAGGGAGAAAAGAAAAUGUGAGAAUCUUUUCUUAAGAAUUUUGGCAUAUAAUUCGUUGGGGUAUUGUACUCUCAUAAUAGGUUAGCCACCAUCCAACAGUUAUCGCCUGCCAUUGUGAAGGUAAAGGGUGGAAGUUCUGGGGUGACACAAAUCUCAGGUCGAAGUUUUGGGGGAGAUCGAUCCAACUUGAACCCGUUGGAAUCUUGACUCUCGAGUUUGAUGAUGGAGAAAUUUUCCAGUGGAGCAAAGUAUGUAUAAGACAAACUACAAAACUCCUGUCCUUUUCCACUUUUUAUUUCGUGUCCCUGAGACUGAUCACUCGACGCUUAUACGUUAUUUGUGUUUUAGGUAACAACAACGAUAUACAAUAUCCUACUUGGUAAACUGUACUGCGAUCACCAUGGGAUAAUGCAAAUCCGUGGAAAUUGCCAAUAUUCUUGUACUUUAAAGUUCAAGGAGCAAUCGAUUCUUGAUAGAAAUCCCCACCAGGUGAUUUCACAGAGAUACAUACUGUAAACAGUUUUCGAUCUAUUUGUCUUGCAUACCUGAAAUAACUUGAUGGUUAAAUAUAUAUAGGUUAAUGGUUUUGUAGAAGAUGUAACUGGAAAAAAGGCCGCGACCGUAUUUGGUAAAUGGAAUGAUAGCCUUUACUAUGUUGCUGGUGAUGGACUCAACAAGGCAAGCGCCUCAUUACUGUGGAAAGCGACUAAGCCACCACCUAAUGUCACUAGAUACAACUUAACAUCAUUCGCGAUGUCGCUAAAUGAAUUGACACCUGGUUUGCAGGUAUAUUACUGUCUGUUGCUUUGGAUUUAUUUAUGAACAUGGAUUUUGGGUUUCUGCUGUACUUAAAAUCUUGUUUUAGCAGCUGUCUGAUAUUUUGUGUAAUUUUGUUCAAUUGGCUUAAGGAAAAGUUGCCUCCAACAGAUUCUAGGCUCCGACCAGAUCAACGGCACUUGGAGAACGGUGAAUAUGAGAAGGCAAAUGAAGAGAAACAACGAUUAGAGAGAAGACAAAGAAUGGUACACUGAGUAUCUCAACACUAAUUCGCUGGUCCAUAAACUCAUUAACCUUUUUAUGUUUUGACAACUGUAAAUUGCUUUUGAUUCUGCAGUCACGGCAAAUUCAGGAAAGCGGGUGGAGACCGAGAUGGUUCGAGCCACAAGGAGAGAGUGAAAGCUAUAAGUACACGGGCGGUUAUUGGGAAGCACGGGAUGAUAAAAGUUGGGAUGAUUGCCCUAACAUAUUUGGAGAGUUCACCGAGGAGGUUGUAGAUUGUGCAUAAGCCGAGGUAUUCUGGUAUAUCAAAAGUUGUGAUGUUCGUCAAGUGGUUGAUACCCUCAAGAAACUAUAGCAUCUUGAUCACUCGAUCGAUCCGUGAAUCAGCUCUAGAUUACGGAUACAUCUGGGAUCUAACAUUGUUAUCUUUCAGGGGUAAGGAGGAAUUUGAGCCGUUCCGCUCCCUAGGGAUUUUGUCUCGACAAUGGACAGAGCUUUCUUUCGGUUUGAGUUCUCUGUUUAUCUAAACUCCGGAGAUAGAAAGAGGAUAUAUUAUUUUUCAGUUCUUUUGUAAUAAUGGUUUUGCUAUAGCUUCAAGAGGGUCCUAAAAAGAGAGUUUAUAGAGCUUCAAUGUAAAGGUCUCUGAGAGAAAUGUAGUGUGGUUCCAACAUUUGGACAAAUAUUCGUUGUAAUCUAUUUUGUACAAACAAAGGAAGCAAUUGAAAUUUGAGUUUAUGCACUUGUUGGUCAUUUAUUUAUCUGUAUCGCCCACGUCUCAAUCAAAGACCACCUAACCGCACCACUCUCCAUAGAUCUUACGUCCAAGAUGAUUAGAAUCUCUCGCCCCUCCACUGUGAGAAAAUGUUUUUCAAAGUGACUUAAAAUUGUGUUCUACAUAAGAAUCAAUGACCUCUUUUAAUAUAUAGAGGAUUUGGAUGUGCACUGUGUUAUAGAAAGCACCAUUUUCAGAAAAUGUUUUAAUAGUCUGAUGUAUUAAAUGACAAAAUAUAGAAACUCAAAUAUGGACUAUUAGAAUGGAAGUAAUGAUUCCUACCAAAAAAAAAGAAUGGAAGUAAUGAUAAGUUGUUAAUAUCUAUAAACUUAUUUAUAUAAUAACAAGGAUACAUAUGACUUGAAAAGAAAUCCCAAAUAGCCAUAUAACCAUGUUCGGACUAGGUCGUGGUUUAAAAUAUAUGCUUGAAUUUUUUUUGAAUUUGGCUAGAUCGAACUUAAAUAUAUGCGAGUCUUACUGAUCUCGGAUUACACUGAGCCAGGCAUCCCGAUUAACAUGUCUAUGUACAGUAUACGUAUUAUAGGUUUAUAAAAUUUUCUUAAAUUUCUAUUUUUAGUGGUAUCAGAUGUCUAUAUAGUGUGCCUAAAGAUUUGUAAUUAUAAUUCACACUGUUAAUUAGAAAAACACUAGAGAUAGCUCCGGCCAACAAAUGACAAAUAGGAACCUUAGGGCCAAAGUUUCUUUUUGGGUCCCUAACUAAAACUUAUGUUUUUCUAUGGGGUUUUCAUCAAAUAUACGCUACAACUUUUGUUAUUUUGGGUCCUAAUUCACACUAAAUAUUUUUUUGGCCUUCUUUUAAAUAUUUUUAAAAACACUGAGCUUUUUGUAUAAGUUUAGCCCAUGCACCUCUACCCUAUCCACUUGGGUCGGACUAGUUAAAACUUAAACUAUAUUCGGUCAAAGGUCUCAUACUUUUUUGUUAUGUUUUUUUUUUAGUUAUAUAGCUAGGUUUCACCCUAAUUCACAAUAAUGUGUAUUAAGGAAUUCAUAUAUGCAAAUGUUUAAUAUGUAACUAUCAAAUCCUAUACCUCUAUUGUACCCUUCGCCAGUUCGCCUAUAUAUUGUGGUCUCAAAGAAAGUAACAUUAAUACAAUAAUGUUUUUACACAAAUCUCUUAUUAUCUUUGGCUCAACUCAAAGACGUGUUUGUUGUCGGCCAAGAUUAGAUAUUUUGUUCCUAUGGAAUAAGCAAUGGGCUAUCUCAAGCUUAGUAGCGUGGUCCAUAUCUAGUCGAUGUUAAUGGAUCUCAAGAUUAAUAGUUUUAUAUAUGAUGCAUUUUUAUUUUAUCAAGUAUUUAAUAGAUUUUAUUUAUUAUUUACAAAAAAAAAGUUUCUUAUAAAAUUAAAAAAGAAGUAUUACUUCGAUUGUAGAAGUGAUGCAUAACCAUUAACAAUGACCAUAUAAAGUGAUACAACAACAAUUUGUUAGAAUCAAUUACAACAAGUGACAUAAAUAUUUUUUUAUUAUUUUUUAUAAGCGUCACAAAAGUUAAUAUCAGUUGUGAUAAACUGAUACAAUUUAUUUCAUCGUUAUACGAACUGAUGUCACUAUUAAUAUCACAUAUUUUAACUGACACACAUUUACCAUCACUUUUGAAAAUAGACGCAAAUUAUUUACAUCAAUUAUUAAAACUGUUAGUAAAUAUUUACAUCGGUUAUUGUAGUCGUCGCAAUAUUUACAUCAUUUCUUAUAACUGACGUAUUGUAGUAUCAUUCGAUAUAAUUGAUGGAAAUGUUUCUAUCGGUUGCUAUAACCGAUGCAUUAAUUUGCAUCGCCACUUUUGAUAUCAAUUAUAUAAGUGAUGCUAACUCAAUUGUAUCAUUCGAUAACCGAUGUAAGUUUAGAAAAUAAGUGAUGCUAUCCACACGUUUUUCUGUAGUGAUGGUGUCGGCACCAUGACUCAUGUUAGUUCAUGCAUGUCGUUAUGUGAUUACAAUAGUUGGUGUAGCUAUCGCAACAUUUUCUUUGUCUGCAUGUGUGACGAUGUAAUGACGUAUUGUUGGCGUAGCUGAGAAAUAUUUUCCCUUUUUUGUAUUCAUCAUUAAUAUAGAUCGUCCUAUGUUAGAUGUUGACGAUCAUAUUUUCUAAAUAAAGGCCUUAUAUGUUUGGAGUUUUCGUAGGAAUUGAUGCUGUGUGGUCCAAAUAGAAGCAUAAAUCUUUAUACUACUGAAAUAUUGGUGGUUUCAAAUAAAGUCAAUCCGAUUAAUCCCAACUGCAGAUUUUCGUUUUUUUUUGGGGAAAGAAUUCGACGUUAAAUCCUCCGCACCAUUUGUUAAAAUUGCGUCGUUUGUCAAAAAUAAGAGAGAAAUAUGUUUGCAUGUUUUGGCAAACUGCAAACAGAUUACGAUAAUAGUUUUAGACGUUACGUGUGUACAUUACAUGUAUACUUUGAAAUAGAGGAAGAAAAUUUUGCAAUCUUUCUUACCAGUUUGCCAAAACAUGCAUGCAAAGUAUGUACUUCUCUAGAAUGAAAACGUAAGAAAUUUUCCUUCAAAAUAAAAUCUGUAGAAACAAAUGUGAAACUUAGGAACUAUCUUUGCUCCAUGAAGAACCUUAUCAUAACUUUACCAAGAAGAAACCUCACUAGUAUUGUAAAACAAGAUAAUACAAUGAGAAACCACACCUAUCGCCCAAUAGCCUGGCAGAGAGAGCUCACACCUUUCGCUAUUUUGGUUGUGUGGUUCUGCUUGGAGAAAGCUCAUGGAUUUGUGUUCGAAGUGCUGCUCUCACAUGACCUGGGAGCAUUAUGUGAUCGAGGGUAUUGAGAACUAUGCCGUUAACGGCUCAGUCUCGGGCCGCUUGUGAAAGGUUUCUAGUGCUAGACGUUUGCGAAGUUCGGCGUUUUACAAGUUGCUUUGUCGUCUUUUGUCUUUUGUCUUCUGUAACUCAAUUGGAAGAACUUCAAAAUCCAUGUUAGCUUAGUGUUAGCAUCGAGUCGAUGGACUGAAAGUGUGUUUAUAUGCUUCCAUGUUUUUAUCUUUUUUGCCAUGGACCAUUGCCUAGGUCUAUGAUCUUUGAUUGUAUUCCUAACAAUUUUUCAUUUUAUGAAAUAUUUACUUUCUUAGCAAAAAAAAAAGUAUUGUAAAACAAUCAUCAUGUAAAUAAAUCGUUAGUACACGUUUGUAGAGGUGUCGGACGGGCCGGUCCGCGUCCAUCUGGGCCGGCCCGCGAUGGGCAUUUAAGUUUGUGAGACCGCGACGGGCCGGCCCGCUAGGACAGCGGGCAUAAAUAUUAUGUCCAGGCCCACCCCGCUAAGCCCAACGGGUUAGCGGGCCGGCCCACGGGCUUAGUUUUAAUAUUUUAAAAAUAAUAAAAAAAAUAAAUUUAAUUUUUAAAAUUUAAAAUUAACAAAUUUUCAAUUUUAAAAAAAAACUUUUAGUAUUAAUUUUUUUAUAAAUCUUAUAAUUUCAUACAUUAGAUUUCGUUAUAUGUUCAUAUAUUUCACAUAUAUAUUUUCAUAAUUAUGUAAAAGUGUUUAUUUAUUUAUAUUAAUUAUUUAUUUUUAUUAAAUAUUUGUAGUCCGCGUACCGACCCGCAAAUCCGCGGACAAAACCCGCAAUCCGCCUGGGCUUAUCCGCGAAGCCCACUAUUUUAUGGACAUGAAAAAUGAUGUCUAAAUCCGCCCCGCCGUGGGCUACUUAGACAAAACCCGCGGGCUAUUGGUCUUGUUAACACCUCUACACGUUACGUUUGCACACUAAUUCUCAUGAUUUGACCCAAAAACUCAUUAAUUUUUGACUCUGCACUAAACAACCAAAAUUUAAAUUAGGAAAAAAAUCGAUCGAUUUCACAAACAAACAAUUGAAUCGGCAAUCCCAAAAAAACGUAGGCAUCUAAAUUAUUAACAUAACCCAAACAUGAAUGACGUUGUGAACGUACUCAUACAUUAGACAACUAUAUUAGAGUGAGAAACAUCAUUGUUCUUCCGGAAAAAGCUGGUUACACUUUCUUAAAGUCAAUAAAAACAUUUGUCCUCAAAAACAAAUAUCAUAUAUUUCAACGAUACUAGGACCAAAAAUAGUUAAAUCCGACAACAAAACAAGAUUAUUUCGAACUUCUUCAAAAGAAACAAAAAACAAGAAAAUUGUUAAAGAGGGCAUGUAAUUUGAUUGGGCAGCUAAUUAAUACUUUUCGUAUUUAGCAUAUCACACGAUUAAACGUCACGUUCAUUUUAAUUGUAGAUAUUUGAAAUAGUUAUCUUUCCAGCAAGGUCUUCGAAAUAUUUUUAAGAAGCAUAUUCUUUUAUAAUUUUCUACGUAUUUGACAUAUAUUGCUUUUUCAGAUAAAUAAAUAUAUAAAAUGAAAAAUUUAUGAAUAAUAUCCACAUUUAUAUAAUUUUAUAAAUACGUUUAAAUUAUAUAUUUGAAUUUAGCAAUUAAAAAUAGCUGUCAUGAUGAGUUUUUUUUUUAAAAAAGAAAAAACUAUAUCUUAAUUUUAGUAGAAAGUAAUAUAUGGUAGAUAAUUAAUAAUUAUCAAAGGAUUAAAACUUUUAAAAAAGUAAAUUAUUAUGCUCAUAAUUUGGUAAUGUUUUCCUCUUAACUUUUUUUUUGAAUAAAUGUAAAAUUUAUUGAAAAAAAACCGUGUUACAAUAUAUGCGUCCUUGAAUUAAUGUUUUCCUCUUUAACUAAUAUUAAUCAUUUCAUUACUUAGAGAUUCUAGAUUAUAUAUUCGUAGUGUUAACCAUCUUUGAUCUCUCUGACUCAUCUUUGCGACUAUAUUUGUAUUUAUUUUUGCAAGACUCCAAAAUCCCCAGUGUCCCCACAUUCAUCCAUUUGCUUCUGUCAUUGAGCUUAAUGUAACUCACAUUCACAUCAUCAUGACUCGCGAGUCAUACAACCCGAACGGAAACUUUCAAUUCGUAUGAAUAUUAUUAUUAUUAUUUUUUGGUAAAAUUUGUAUGAAUCUUAUAAACCCGUUAUAAAAAAAAAAAAACCAUUCGUUAAAGCUCUGAUCAUCCAAUUCUAAGUGUUCAAUGUUCAUACAAAGUUUGAUAUGCGGAUUUAUAACUUGGCUCGAUACAAAUGAGAAAACGGAAUUAUAUGAGAAAUUGAAAGAGAAAAAUAUUUUGUCAAUUUACGAGUUCAGGAUAUUCGAGUUGAGAUAUAUCUGUGUCUCGGCUAGAAGAUCUAGUAAUUCACUAUCUAAUUUACAACAUGAGUAAAUCUACAAGAUCUUGAACUCGAGAUGAUAAAGUUUCAAAACAGGGGAAGAAGAAGCAGAGUUACAUGCUUUUAUAUCAAAUUCUUAUGAUAUCAAACCCUCCAUCCGAAUAAGAGACUACCUCAAUACAGAAUUAACCAGUUUCCAAUAUCCCGGUUAUGCUAUAAAUCUCACAAAGAUCAAGAGUUGUUUUACUAGAAAUCAGCUCGAAGAAAAAAAUAGCAUUCUACAGCAAUGUGAAGAUUGUAAUAAUAAUCUAAAUGCAAGAAUUUGAAAAUGAGACGUUGGUUACGAAAUUUCUUUCACUAAAAUUUCGUUGAAACAAAAAUAGAUUGCAACAAAAGCAUACAAGCCUGGACGGCGGGGGACGACGUUUACAAAAAAAAAAAAAACUAUAAAAAUCUCACACAUUUGUUUUUUAUCUUUAACAAAUCAAGAUUCAUAUAACUCUAGAUUACAUGCAUUUAUUCAAACUGUAGUAAUUUUGAAGAGUAUAUUGUGUACGGGCAUCGCAUCGUAUGCAUAGCUGGUAUCGUUCAAGCACAUUGGAAACCGGACGGAACCUUUCUGUUACAAACGUUGAGAAGAACGCUGAGAGAUAUUGGAACGUUAAGGUUGAUGCCAAGAACGUUAGCCCUAAGAGCAGUGCAGAGACAAAUCGCAGCGUCGAGGUCAACCAAACCUUGGAUAAGCGAGCAACAUGGUUGAGCUGAUGGCUGACCCAACUGGAUGUUAAGUAGACUGCUUAGGACAUUUGCACAUACACCGAGCUUGAGAGCAUCUAUAGGGCAGUUUCCAGAUGAACCAGGGGUGCUUGGAGGUGUGACCGGCCUAGGAUUAGGACUUGGGACUGAUGGAGUUGGGACCGAAGGACGAACUGGAGGAGGACAUGGGACCGGCUUGGGUUUAGGACUUGGGACUGGCUUGGGUUUAGGACUUGGCUUGCAGUUGCAAUUAGUUGCAACGGUUAAGGUGAAAAAGAGGAUGUUGAGAGCAAAGAAAAGAGCAAGAGAGGCUGAGUUCUUUGAAGCCAUUCUUGUUUUCUCAAAGAUAUAUUCGGUGUUUUGAUGGUUAUUGAAUGAAUAUAAAUGAAGAGAAGGUGUAGGUAUUUAUAGGGGUUUAGGAGGAUGUCAAGAGGACCAACUUGAUUUCGUAUACUUAAUUAUUAAUUUAUAGAUAUUUGUAAUUAUUUGCGCUUAUCUAUAUAUAUAUAAAAAAUUUGACCAUUUUUUCCCUAUAUGCAUGUACCUACGUAGAACCAUGAAACUUUUUUUGGAAAAUCUUUUUUGUAAAGCAUUUUAUAUUUAAGAAAAUAUUUGAUUCAUUGCAUUCAUAUAAGUAUUAAUGUCAAUGCUGUUAUUAUCACCACCAUCAUGAGGUCGUGGAUGACCCCAGUGCUGCAGUGCAAAAGUUAUUUAGAUUUCUUUUGCAUUGGCUCGUAGCCAUUUUACUUGACGGCUUCUAUACGUCAGGUUGGGUAAUAAAUUUCCAGUGUAGUUAUAGUCUAUGUAUUUAUAUCAAGCUGAUCCCGGCCAUGGGAGACACACCCAAAUAUCUCGACACACACUCGAAAAAAUUGUUAUAUUUGAAUAUUUUUGAAUUUAAGAUACCCUAAUGCAUAAAAUAGGAAGACAUUAAAACCCUGCAUGAUUCGGGGUUUGUCUGAAUAUGGUAGUCGGUUAGGGGUGUGAAUCCGGAACCUCCAAAUUUUUUUCUCUAUGCACAAUGGACAAGGUUAAAACAAUUUGUACUAUUUUGUAUGCAAUUUGUUUAAUGAAACAAUAGAGAUGAAUUGCUAAAAAUUAAAGUUUUAGAGCCAAAAUUACUAAAAAUGUCAUCUGAAUAAUGUUGUAAUUCAUCUCAAUAAAAUUAAAGCCAAAAGAUACUUAAAUUGAAGUAAAAUAUGACAUUCGUUAGAAGAACAGAGCGAUCGAGCAAUUGACUAGGACAAUCUCAUGAAAAACAAAACUCAACACUUUCGAAUUUUUUUGUUAAUAUUUUGAACAUGCAUGGUUUACUCACUAGUUACGUUAGUUUCAUGAUAUAAUAAACUGAUAUUAUUUAAAAUCAAUCCAAAAUUAAUUAACUGGUUGUUUGAGAAAAUAUAUUCAUAUAUAAAAGAAUAGAGAAAUCUAAAAUUUUUUAAUUUUCCAGAGAAGGCUGGUUUCUCAAAAUCAAUAAAAAAUAUAUCUCCCAAAGUAACAUUUCAUCUUUGAUUCAUGUUAGAAUCUCCACCAAGUGAUUUCACCAAGAUACACACUGUUAACAGUUUUCGAUUUAUGAAUCCAAAAGGCCAAAACAACUUCAUAAUCAUAUACUGAUAUACAUAUGUCUUGCAUACCUUAAAUAAUUUAAUUAUCAUUAGUAUUUUAGUCUUUUCCGCUACUAGUUGCCCUUUGUAACUUCUUUCAAAAUUUUGAUAAUGAUAUAAAUACUUCUAUUUAAUACUAAAGAUAGAAUAAAAACUUCAUGAUCAUAUAUAUAGAAGAUUCUACAGGGAAAAGAGGCCGCGACGAUUUUUGGUAGGAGGCUGCUGGUGAUCAAACACGUCUCUGAGCUGAGCCAAAAAUAAAAAUAUGAAUCUAAAUUAUUGUAUUAAUGUUACUUACUGAGACCAAUAUACAUACACGAAGUGUACAAUAGAGAUAUAGGAUGCUGAUAGUUGUCGGCUAAGACUAGAUAUUUUAUAUUUCUAUUCGCCAUUAUCCAUUAUUAAGAAUUGUCUUAUAUAUGUUAGAUGUUGACGAUCAUAAUUUCUUAAUAAAGGCUUUAUAAUAUGUUUCGGGCUAAAUUUUCGUAGGAAUUGACGCUGUACGUGAGGUCCAAAUAUAAGCAGAAACAUUAGUGGUUCCAAAUAAAGUCAAACCGACGACGACUGAUUAAUCCCAAUCGAUCAUUUUCGUUUUUUUUGUAAGAAUUCGUUGAAUCCUCUUCACCAUAAAGAAAAAAACAUUUUGUUACGACGUUUGUCGAAAAGAAGAGAUAUGUUUGCAUGUUUUGUCAAACUGAAAACAAAUUACGAUUAUACCUUUAAAAGUUACAUAAUAGUGCAUGACGCUCGGGACGAAACUAAUAUAGCUAGUAAUAUUACAUGUUUUGGUUUCGGUCAUGGAAGGAUAACAGGCUUUGCUCCAGAACCUCCUAGUAUUUAAAAAAAAAAAAGAUAUACAUAAACUUGUUACAUUCAAGUCUGUCACUAUCGAUAGAUGUACGUAAAUAAACUUUGUGUAUUUCAAAGUUUAGCUUCAAAUUUAAUAUUUAGGGUUUAGAGUGUAGUUUUUAAGGUUUAGUUCGAUGUAGUGUGUAUUGAAGAUCAACUAUAACUACAUUGUUUUUUUUUAAUUUUAUUUUUUAUUUUUUUUGGACAAAGACUUGUUUUCAUUCAACUAAGAAAGAAACCAAGUACAAAGAUAAAAGGAUACUGAAAUCCCAAAGUUUAAAAUACAACAAAGAAGGGCAUUUCCCAAUGCCACACAAAGGUAAACAAACAGAUAGAUAAAGUACAUCAACAAUGGUUCCAUAAGAGCUUUGAGCCAAACUCUUGGAGGCGAUUUGGUACAUGUGAGCAGUGCCGGCCCGAUAAAUUUGGGUGCCUAAGCAAAAUUAAAGCCCAUAAAAAAAAAUUUCUUUUAAAUUAGAUUUUUACCAUUAAAAAGAAUGUUGUAGUUGUCUCUAAACACCCACAAUAUUUUUAAAAGGCCCUACAAAAAUUAUUGUAUAUAAGAAAACUUAACAAAUUUUUAAGUAAAAAGGCCCUUACAUUUUGAAGCCCAAAUCGGUGGUUUCAGUGGCUUGCCCUCUGCGCCGGCCCUGCAUGUGAGAUCAAAGAUUGUUGACAAUUGUUCCACGAACAAAUCAGUGGAUGAGAUAAUGGUCAGUAUCAAAAGAUGUAAUGACGUUGAAGAAGAAGCCAAAGACAUAGAUCUCGCCGGCACGAGAAGAACUACACGAAGUAUGGCUUUGGCAAGGAUUCGAACAAGGUUUCAGGAAAGGAUGUUGGUGCUAUGAUGCUUAAAGUUGAUUGCUAGGAUUGCCAUGAAGUGAUGGUUGACCGUAGGUAAACCAAGAUCGCAAUCAAAAAUCUGACAACUUGGAGUCGGGACACAAAAGCCAUAAAACUUUAAGGAUUGAGGUUCGCAUAACAUAGACAUAAGGGAAACUAAAGCCACGGUUCUCAUAUAGUUAAAGCAAAGCCAUAGAAACGACAGUGAAUUACUUCUCAGAUGGAGUCCUCGACCAUUGAGUUUGUAAUCACACAGCCAUCGACAAGGUUUUGGCAGAAAAUAAAUUGGGUCAGGCUUGGGGUUAUGAUAAUAAUGAAUGGACACACACCUUAUGGGCUUGGGAGGCUGAAGCCUUAAUGGGCCAAUUUCAGGUUUAGGGCCCACUUGGGGAAACCCUAAUCUCGCAUUGGGAGUUGACGGAUUUAGCUCAUGGCGGCUGGCCGAGAAAGGUUGCUGGUUUUGCACCGGAUUCAGCUUCAUCGAAAUCUUUACUGGCGGCGGUACAAGAAUAGCGUGGUCCGAUGUUGUGACGAGCAAACAAGAAGUCUUACUAGAACCAGAAUGAAGAGAGAUUACCUGAAGAAGAGAGUCGUCUUGAGCCAUCGAUGUCUCCCCUGAGCAUGGCACACCUGCUGGUCCAAGAGGGAUUGUUCCUACCAGCAACGAAGCCCAGGGGUGUGGAUGUUGGAUUCGCACACUCAAGUAUUUUUAUUAAGUAGGAAAGAUUAUUCUUGAGGGACAAAAAUAAAUAUGUAAAAGGCUUAUGAAUUGUUACAAAAAUUGCUAUAGUAUUUCUUGCUCGAAAGAACGAUCCCCAUACAUGGCCAUUGGCCUUCUUAUUUAUACAUAGAAAAACGACAUUUAAGUGGCUAAUUAAGUACAAUUAUUCUCUCUUAAAUGUGUCCGUUUGAAUUUGCUUUUAAUGCUUAACGUUUGAAUUCUGAUCUUCAUGGGCCUCGCCUUUUGGCCAAAAUGUCCUUGGACUGACUUAACCAUUACUUCGUCUCCGGCCUCGUGUCGAGGUGUAGUCACUUCGGAUUCUCCUUACGGUGAUAACCACUUCGACUGUUCUUUUGACUUGUGGGUAUAAUUGCUUUAUCCUUUAUGGGCCGUUAUCCUGACUACGUGGCAAUCUUUGGUUGGUCCUGGACCUCUGGUGCGGGAUCCGACACCAACAAUUAGCCCCCCAAGUUCUUCGAAGUGCCAUUCCAAUUCGGAGGACUUUAAAUGCUUAAAUGACCAAAAAUUGCGCUCGAGAAUCUUUCUGAUUUCCCGCCGAAAAUCUCAUCACUCCUUUAAUUUCGGUACUAGCCAUUUUUACCCGAGUGACAUCUGUCAUCAUUAUGACCGUAUAUUAAUUAAUUACUAUUAAAACGGGAAAAACCUUCUCACUUCCCACACAACUUCCGAGGCGGUUCCAUCAUUUAGCUUGUGUAACGUAACUUUUUUUUCAUCAUCAUUUUCUACUUUUACAUUUGCACUUUAUUCGAAACUUCUCUCUUCUUUUCCUUCGCCAAAUUUCUCUUCGUCGGAUCUCGAACCUUUCAUUUUCCCCAAUGACUUCUGAUUCUGAAAGGCCCGAAUCUCCGUCAUUCGACGAUAGGCGCUCUAGUAAUGACGAAUGCACUCGCCCUAAUGAUAUUGCCGGUCCGCACUAUAGAUCCACUUGUACUCUUCAAUCCCUCGAGCGGUUGAGAGAGCUUUGCCGAAUUCCGCCAGAAAUUAUGGCGGAAGCACAAAUAGCUGCCCCCACAGAAUCCCCAGAGAACCAUCGCGAUGGUUACUUCUGUGUGUACGAGAUUUAUUUCAAGGGUUGCGGAUUAACCUUCCCACUUCCCGAAGCCCUGGUUCGGUACUUGGCGGUUCUCGAGAUCGCUCUUCCUCAAUUAACCCCCAAUCUUCUCCGAACCAUACUCGGAAUUAUAACAGUAGCGGCGGAAGCCGGAUACAUUAUAGGGGUCCCCGAGCUGAAUGAGCUUCUAAGCGUGAGAAGUUCAUCGAAGAAGACAGGGUAUUUCUCGGCAUACCCUAAUGCUAACAGGAACGUCAUUUCACAUCUUCCAAACAAGGAUGAAAAUUGGCAUCACCCUUGGUUCCUGAUUAAGAAAACCCCUGCUUCGAUUGGAAGUCUAUCAGAUCUACUCCCAUCGAAGUGGUCCGCGAAACCUGGUAGAAAUUAGGUCGCAUACAUUCCUCCAAUUUUAUUAUUCCUAUUGAUUAAACUUGUUAUUUUCACUUUGCAGCUUUUGUCGCUCCGACUUUACCAACUGAAGAAUUCAUUGGCUUCUUCAAAAUAAUCCUCGAAGAGGAAACCCUUUGGAAUUCUUUCACUCUCGAACGGUUCAUAGAAGCCAAUCGAAAACUCAGGAUGAGCCCUCCCAAUCAACUUCAUCGUCUUCCGCCUCUUCCCUCGACCCAGGGAAUGUCAGCUCGGGCUCUCACUGGCCAGCGAAAAAUGAUUUCCAAGCCGAUGGCUGAGGCUUGUGACGAGAACAAGGCGUUCCUUGCGACCGCCAUUGACAAAAAAGAUUAUAGCAAAACCUUAUUGGUUGACGACGGUAGCACCGAAGGAGCCAGAUCCGUCGCCGUUUUCAGAUUGACACCUCGACGUGAACGUCACGAUGACCGUCCUCCCCGGAGGCUCCAAUCUCCUAACCGCGACUAUCCUCGUUCUUCCUGAGAUGACUUUAGCAACGAACCGCUUAAGGAUUUAAUUCGCAAAAAGAGGGAUAGGUCAUCCCGCAGUGGUUCUUCUCCGUGAAGAGAGAAGUCAAGGGCCCGAACUGACCGUUCUCCUCGAUCGUCCCCUCCUACUGAACCAAUGGGUCCUCCUCGUCCUGUUGAUAUGUCAUCUUCUUCUCAACGUAGUGGUGAGAAGACGAACCUGGGUGCAGCUUCUCAGAAGGAAAGUUCUGAGUCUCGAGAUGACUCUCCGAAGACAAAGCCUGCUCUUGUUCCUCAGAUCAAAUCGCUCUCAGGUAUGACGAUAUACAUGUAUUCUUUUCUUUUCGUCUUGUACUUAUUUUGAAUUUCUAAGACCUUUCCUCUUUUGCUUUCGUAGCCAUGGAGAAAGAGGGUAACGUUUUUCGGUGCUUCAAAACCCGAUCAGGUGCGAUCCUGCCAGAAUUCAACAAGUGGCGCUCUGCAAUUCGUGAACGAUACCUACUUCAUGCUCAUCAUUCAUCUCGGGUUAGUUUCGCUUCAUUUUUCUGACUUCACUGUCAUUCUUCGAACUGAUCCGUCAUUCCGGGUUUAUGUGUAAUAUCAGGCGAACGACGAGCUCAAUGACAUAAUUGAACAUUACGAAGGGUUGGUCAUUGGUCGGGAGAAGGAGAUAAACACGUGGAAGAGCAAGUUUUCUAAUCUCGAGGCUGAACUCCGUUCUUCUACCGACUCCAAGCAUGAUUUGGAGGACAAGGUUGAUGGUCUAUCAUCCGAGCUUGCGAAGAUAAAGGGGGAGCUGCAAGACCAGUAUGACCGGAAUUACAAGCUCCAGGAUGAACUUUUUGGUGUUCAGGGUAGACUUCAUGAGUCUGAAUCAUUCGCCGAUACCCUGAACAACCAACUUACCGAGCUUCACGCGAAGUACCAUGCGAUCGCCAAGUUGCGUGAUUCCGAGUUAGCAAGGUCAGCAUCGAAGGCCAGAAAGGAGGUUAAGGGACGCGGGAUGGAGUUGAUCCAAGGGGCCAUCCGCUUCAUGCAGACCGAGAAAGCUAGGUCAGAUUUGGAAUCAGACAUCAAGGAGCACGAGAGCAACCUGAUUCUGUUGGAUCAAAUCCAUGAUACAGAUUUCUCCGAGGAGCUAGAAAGGACCGAACUGUCGGCUAAUCUUUCAGAAAAGCGGAGUCGUUUGGCAGCUCUUCCUACUUUGACCUUCAAUCCGCAGGACUUCGAGGAAUUCUUCACUGAAUCGUCUCCUAUAAGUGAAUCAGGUCUAGACUGGGCAGGUAACGCUUGGCUCCUGACACUUACUACCUUUUUCUCACCUUAUGUUUUGUUUUUUUUUAAAAAACAAUUGACUGGAACUGUCCUUCCCAGGCUCAAGUGAGACGGAAGAUGUCUUCCCACCCGAAGUUCCUGCGGCACCGGCGGUCACCCCGGAGGAUGGUUGUACUGUGGAGGGCGGACCAGGAGCCCCAUCUGACCAAGCACCAACCAAAGAGGAGAAUGAAACUUUGACUGCCGAGCCGGAGUCCGAGGUGGCUGUUACUCCGUAGUGGCUGCGUCCACUUUAAAUUGGGAAUUGUCCCAUUUAUUUUAAAACUUAAUUUCGAACUUGUUUUUGCCUAAGGAGGCUUUAUUAUUUCUUUUGAACGAGAGAUUUGCCUGAGGAGGCUUUUAAACCUUUCUAGGUUUUGACCCCAAGGGGGUUUGGUUAAAAUUAUGUGCGGGUUUGCAAAGUCCGCUUUUAACCCUUUGUGGCCUUGUGGUUAUGCUUUCGAGAUUUUUAAGCUGAUCAGACCUUUCUCUUAAGAAUGCGAGAACUGAGCUCGGCUUAAAGCGAGUUCCCCAUUUCGGGUUUAGUCAACUCGAUAAAUUUAUUGGGCUUGGGCCUUAGAAACUUUUGUAGUUAAUGCGACGGUUGCUCUUUCCCUUCUUAUUUCUUGAAAGUAGGAAAAGCGGCUCGUCUUUAAUGUAAUAAUUGCCUUUUCUCGAUUUUCCAAAAAUGGUUUAAUCCACUAAGGCACGCCACCAUUAUUGAAUUUUCAUUCCCAAGGCAAACCUUAACCCUAUUAUAAAUAGGAGUUUGUCCAGCUUUGAUCUUUCCUCAAGAAACUUCAUAACACCAUAUUAAUGGAAAACGAAAACAUAGCCCCCAUUGAUCCCGGCAGCCCACUCUUCUUGUCCGGUGACAGCUUUGAACCGGCCGGCGUUCUUUUCCCUCACGCCGUCUUUCACUUUCCUUCAAAGGAGAAGAAAGAGGCUUGCGAAUUUAUUGACAAGGUUAAUAUCUGUCGUCUUUGACUAAAAACUGUUUGUCUCAUCUUAUUCAUUCAUCUUUAUGCUAGGUCGCCGACAAACACCGUCGCUUGUGCGAAGAGAGACAGCGGCUAGGCCUCAAAAGGCAAACACUCGAGGCUCGCAUCGCUCGGGUGGAGAGGAAGAUACGGGCUUUGGAAAGUGACCCCUUUCAAUGGGAAUCGCGGAACUUUGAUUAUGUCGCUAAGAUCCCGAAGAUGCUCCGGAUGUAUCUCCAUGCUAAAAGAGUUCCGGGUCCCGUGAAUGCUCCAGUCCAUACCGUUCCAUCCGAUAGCGAGGAAGAAGACGAAGAGGAGGCUAGUACCAGUCGGAAACGCGUUCGGGAUCGUCCCGAAGUGGAUGCCAAGAACAAGGCGUCCACUUCGAAAACUAAACCGGCGAUGAAGGAGCCUGUUCCUGAGCCUCUUCCAUAAAUGUUCUCUAACUUCUUCACUUACUUUGAACUCGUAAUGGGCUUCGGCCCCUUUUUAUUUAUGGAAAUAUUUGCAAUUUUCCUUACUCUUCAAAUAUUCUCGGAGAUGCGUCUUUUAAUGCAGGAUCGGUUUAAGGGCAUAAAUCUUUCCGCGAAUCAUUCCAUUCUUAGGAUAGAAUCCGCAGCUUACCAAGAAUAUGACAUUCCUAUAAAUUAUAGUCUCAACUUCUCUUUUCUCCUCACCACUCUUUUUCAUUUUAGCAGGUAUGGAGUUUAACCUUCGAUGUUCAGAAUCUAUGUCCAACUUCUCCAGGAUUAGAAUGAUAAACGAAGAUGCUCCAAAUGAGCCAAAUAGGCGGCCUCUUCCACCUCGCGGCAUCUUCAGAUCCCAGAUUCGAGCUCCAUGCGCUUUGAUCAGGGAUCUCUCGAUCAGAGACCAAGGAACAGCGAUGGCAUUCAUAGAUGCACUUGCGCUUCAACAUCGGAAGCUUACGUUGAAAAAAAGGAGACUCCGGAAGAGGAUUAACCGGAUGCAACGCAGGCUUACUACGGUAUCAAGAGAUCUUCACGUCCUUGAAUCUCACCCUGAAGAAUGGAUCGAGCUUGGAAUCUCUGACUUUGCUCGAAUUCCGGACUGCAUGAAGCCAAUCCUCGACCUUGCUGGUCAAGGAGUUGAAGUGUUCUGCUCGUCAACAAGAUCUCCAUAACCCAAAGUGUACGAUGAGGGACAUUCCAUUUUUGUUUUUGAAUAAACGCUCUAUUUCCAAUCUCUUGUAUGUUCGCAUAGCCGAACCUUUAUUUGCUUCACUUGUUCGCUCAGUCGAACCUUUUCCUUUAAUAAAGAAAUAAAACAAAAAAUUUUAUUAAUAGCUGAACUCGUUUCCGAGCUGCCUACGUACCCAUUUCGGGAUCAAGCCACAUCGUAGUUCAUGUACAUAAAAAUGCAUGUAGCUUUAAACAUAAAACUUCUUUAGGUUGAUCACAUUCCAAGGUCGCUUGACUGGCCUGUCUUCUAAGUCUUUCAAUCUAUAAACACCGUUCCGAACCACUUCAGUAAUAAUGUAAGGUCCUUCCCAAUUAAUACCAAGUUUACCGGCACCUUCUUCUUUUUUAUUGUCAAAGACGCGCCUUAACACAUAAUCUCCCACGAAGAACGGCCUACUUUUGACUUUAGAGCUAGGAAGCAUGGAAGCGCCGUCCAACCUCUGAUUCUCGCUUUGGAACCAGAAGCGGGUGCGGAAGCGACCGGAAUCGUGAUGGAAGCGCGGUUCCAGAAAAUUGAAGAUUGGAAGCUUCUGGGAAGCGUUCGAUUCGGACUUGGAAGCGUGGUUUUUUUAUCAACGGAAGCGCAGCCUUCCCACAGAAACCCACCCGUCGUUUAUCCUCACAAACUAAUCCAGAGAGUAGUGAAUCAAGAAGAAGUACGUACCUCCGGUGAACAGAUCUGACGUGGAGAUCACAAGAGAGUAGAGAGAAGACGCAAAGCUCAAAACUUUCUGUUAUAGACUCGUAAAAGGGAAGUGAAUGAAGAAGAAGAUACAGAGCCAACAUGAAAGACCCUUUUACCCUUCUAGUUGUGACUAAUUACUGAUACCCACAACUUGUGCUUCUCACGUGUCAAUGGAGAGAGGUUGUCUUGAAACCUCUGAUUGCUUGAGAGUCUUCAUGACACCAAAACCUACACUCUUUUCAAGUUGUCUUCGGUGGUUUCAGUUUUAGAUCUAAUCGGCGACUCUUCUCUCAAGUCAGUCUCCGACAAAUUUAUUGAAAGGAAUCUGACUACCACAAGCCAUAUUUGGGCUUUAAUUUUUUUAUUCUUUUAAGUCUAAUUUUGUUUAAAUGGCCCGUUUUUAUUUGCGUUUUUAUUCUUUUAUUAAGACAUCCAAAAUAUUUUAUUGUUAACAAUGCAUUUCUUACUUUUGAUGACUAUAUUUAUUAUUCUACAUGUUAUGUAUUUCGUUUGGUUUAAAAUUUUCUCAAUUAUCAUGCAUAUCCAAUGGUUAGUGUAGAGUAAAUUAAAUAUUUAAUAAAUCUAUAUAUAUAUAUAUAUGUAUAUAUUUACGCUUCUAACACGUACCCGCUUCCUAACUUUUUUAAAAAACUCGUUUCCCCGCUUCCAAACGCUUCCGCUUCCGAUUCCAUGCAGCUUAGCUUUAGAGUUGUAAUAUCGGGCUGCUGCCUGCUGGUAGUUCUGAAUCCGAAUCAAAGCUUGAUCACGCCUUUCAUUUAUGGUAUCUAGUGAAUCAUUAAGCAUUGCUGAAUUUUCUUCCUCAUUUAAUGGUGCUUCUGUUCGGCGAAGUCCGGGCACGUUGAGUUCAGCUGGUUGAGUUCAGCUGGUACUACUGCCUCCAUGCCAUAAACCAAAGAGAAUGGAGUUUCUCCGGUAGGUCGCCUAGGGGUUGUACGAUAGGCCCAUAGGACGGGUUGGAGUUCUUCAUACCAUCCUCCCUUUAGAUGAUUCAAACGUUUCUUGAGAUUGCUCAGUAUCGUCUUGUUCGCGGCUUCAGAUUGACCAUUUCUUUGCGGAUAUCGUGGAGUAGAGUAACUAACUUUGAUUCCCCAGUCUGCACAAAAGGCAUCAAACUCUUGUGAAAUGAAUUGUGGCCUGUUAUCGGUGACUAUUUUAUACGGAACUCCAUGUCGACAUAUAAUAUUCUUCCAAAUGAAAGUCUUCACCGCCGAAUCCUUGAUGCCAACAUAUGCCUCAGCUUCAAUCCAUUUCGAAAAGUAGUCCGUCAAGACCAAAAGGUAUUGUACACCUCGAGUUGAUCUGUGCAAUAGUCCAAUGAUGUCCAUUGACCAUCUCAUAAACGGGUACGGGGCGGAGAUGGAAGAGAAUAACUCCGAAGGUUGAUGGAUCAAUGGUGCAUGGAGUUGGCAGCGCUUACAUCUUUGGGCAAAUUUAACACAAUCCGUGAUCAUAGUGGGCCAAUAGUAUCCCAUUCUUUUAACUUUAAAAGCCAUAGCUCUUCCUGAUGAAUGACUCCCACAUAAUCCUUCAUGCACUUCGCUCAUGACGAUUUCGACUUCGGGCCCAAAAAUGCAUAAUAGGUAAGGGUCGCUGACACCUCGUUUAUAUAAUGCAUCCUUUGAUAGACAAAAUUUCGCGCUAACGACUUUCAUUUUCCUGGCCUGCCACUUAUUCUUUGGGAGCUCGCCUGUCAUGAUGUAGUGCUUUAUUGGCUCCCUCCAGUCAGCCCCCCAGUCUUUAGCCGAAAUUUGGUCAACCUUGUAAAAUACUCGUGGUUCUGGUUCGGGAUGUUCGUUUGGUUCAAGAACAUCCUCCUCGAUUAACGGCUCUAUUUCUAAUAUCGUUUCUGGAAUCACAUCUUCUGCUAAGACAACGGGUUCCUUGUUAGAUGUGUUUGAUCCCUUUGACUUCCUCCGUUUGUUGGGUGGUGGUUCGAUCUCUGGUUUGCCAUGGUCACGUGCCGCUGCUCGAGACCUUGUAACGACGAGGGUUUCUUUGUUGUCUUGAAUGCUUCAUUCUGAAAUGCAUUCCACUGGAAUAACUCUUUUCAACUCAGGAUCUGAUGUUGACGCUAAUGCGGCAAUUGCGUCCGCAGUUGUAUUCUCCCCCCGAGGUAUGCAGAUUAAUUUGAAUUUCGAGAAAUUUUUAGAUAGAUCCUUCACCACUUUGAGGUAUGCUUCCAUUCUUGAGUCCUUGGCUUCAUAGUCUCCAUUAAACUGGUUAACUACUAAUUGCGAAUCACAAUAAGCCACUAUUUCCUUAGCUCCAACUCCUUGUGCCAAUCGAAGUCCGGCAAUCAGGGCUUCGUAUUCUGCCUCGUUGUUGGAGGCAUUGAAUAACAAUCAGAAUGACUGUUCUAGAAUUUCUGAUGUUGGAGACUCCAACUUGAUUCCCACUCCGGAUCCUUGUUUUGUUGAAGACCCAUCUACAUGUAAUUUCCAAGUUUGGUUCUCCGGUUGCUCUAUCGUUCCAGUAUUGUAGCUCGGUCAAGAAGUCUGCUAAAACCUGAGCCUUCAUACUGAUCCGGCUUUUGAAUUCUAUAUCGUACUCGCUUAAUUCCACCGCCCAUUUCGCCAAACGUCCGGACUGACUUGGACUAUGAAGUAUUGUUCGGAGUGGUUGGUUGGUUAAUACUUCAACCGGAUGGAAUUGAAAAUAUGGGCGCAGCUUCCGAGCCGAGAUCACCACCGCGAGUGCGAGUUUUUCCAUCAUUGUGUAUCUGGUUUUCGGAUCCGUCAUUGACUUACUUACGUAGUAAAUUGGCUUCUGUUCCCCGCGGUCUUCCCGAACCAAGACUCCACUAACCGCAUCGUUUGAAACCGACACGUACAAAUAAAGUUUUUCAUCCACUUCUGGCUUGGACAGUAUAUGAGGAGUGGUUAAGUAAGCCUUAAGCUGCCCAAAAGCUUCUUCAUACUUCUCAUCCCAUAGGAAUCCUUUGUUUCCUUUUAGAAUUUGGUAGAAAGGUAACGACUUAUCUGUUGAUCUCGAGAUAAAACGAUUCAAAGCCGCAAUCCGCCCAGUCAACCGUUGUACUUCCUUGAAGUUUCUUGGAGAUGGCAUGUUUAGAAAGACGUUAAUUUGGUUUGGAUUGGCUUCAAUCCCUCUUUCUGUCACAAUAUAGCCAAGAAAUCCUCCGGAUGGGACUCCGAAUGCACUUCGCCGGGUUCAGCUUCAUUUGAUAUUUAUUGAGAAUAUCAAAACAUUCUUCUAAAUGCUUAACGUGAUCUUCUUUCUUUAACGAUUUAACCAACAUAUCAUCUAUGUAGACUUCCAUUGUUUUCCCGAGAUGAUGGUGGAACAUUUUGUUAACCAACCGUUGAUAAGUUGCCCCUGCAUUUUUCAAACCGAAAGGCAUUACCUUAUAACAAUAGAUACAUCUAUCAGUGAUAAAUGACGUUUUUUCCUGGUCUUCGGGGUUCAUCAUUAUUUGAUUAUAACCCGAGAAUGCGUCCAUGAAUGUUAACAGCUCAUUCCAAGCGGUGGAUUCUACAAGUCGAUCUAUAUGCGGGAGCGGGAAACUGUCUUUGGGACAUGCUUUGUUGAGGUCUGUGAAAUCGAUGCAAACCCUAUCUUUCCCAUUCUUCUUCUUGACAACGACAGUGUUUGCUACCCACUCCGGGUAUUGCACUUCUCUUAUGGACCCUAUCUUCAAAAGUUUAUCCACUUCGUCAUUUACUAUUUUUGCUCGCUCUACUCCAAGCUUUCUUCUUUUUUGUUUCACCGGUUUGAAGCUCGGAUCCACGUUUAGUUCAUGACAAAUUAUACUUGGAUUUAUGCCAGGCAUGUCCGCCGCUGACCACGCAAACGAUGUUUUGUUUUUCCUCAAGAGUUCGAUCAAAGCUUCUUUUAGUUGGCCAGUCAAAGUUGCCCCAAUUCGAAUUUUCCGGUCCGGUUUGUCUUCUUCCAACACCACUUCGAUUACUACAUCAUCUUUUUUCUGCCCGCUAAGAAAUUUUGUUCUUAGUCCCUCUUUUGCGGACUUCGUUAAUUGCUAUUGAAUCUUCAUACGGUGGCUAGCUAGAUAACACGUCUAUGAAGCUUCUUGAUCUCCCCGAAUUGUUUCCACUCCUCUUGAUUUGGAAAUUUGAUACAUUGAUGAUAUGUAGAGGGGACUGCUUUCAUUUGAUAAAUCCAGGGAGUCCCGAGGAUGAUGUUGUAAGCUGCGGGCUUAUCGAAGACAACGAAGUCCACGAUCUUUGAUACCUUUUUGGAAAGGAGACGGAGGCCCUACUAUGUCCGCCUGACUAAUUCCCAUUCUUUCUAAAGUACUUAAAAAGAUCAAAUCGACCGAACUGCCUAUAUCUAUAAGGAUCCUUGAUACUUCGAAGUUGGCAACGUCAAGGGUAAUGACUAGAGCAUCAUCAUGAGGUCUUUCGAGGUGCCGCGUUUCUUCUUCAUUAAACGAUAUUGAUGCACCUUGAAAAUCGACUUCUUCGCUCAAGCUUGCUUUGAGUAGGACAUUUCGUCUAUGUUUCUUGAUGGAACUUAUCGAAUCUCGACAAAAUUUGGAACCUCCUAGAAUAACAUUGAUCUUACCCUUAGAAUUCCUCGGUUCUUCCUCGUUGGUUAACCUUGGUCUUUUGGAAUUUUGAUCUUUGGAAUUUUCCUUUGCUUCGUGGUAUUCCUUCACAAAAUCUUUUAUAUCGAAUUUGGAAAGAUCUCCACUGGCCCAAAGCUCUGCGAGGUGCCUUUUAAGAACGCUACAAUCCUUGGUUAAAUGUCCGGUUACUUUAUGAAUGUCGCAAUAUAGACUUUCAUCAUGGACCCAAGUGUUUGAUCUUCCUUUCCCUUGGAAUUGCUUUCCGACGGUACUGUUGAAGGGUUGCAACCCAAAUUUCUUUGGUCCUUUAUUCUCCCUAGGUUCGAACUUCUUGGUAGGGACGGUGAUUGCCGGCUUUUCUUGCUUAUUUCUUUUGGCAAAAUUUUAUUUUUUGUCCUCUACCUCCAUCCAGUUGUUUGCGCGGAAGAGCGCAUCCUGAAUUGUGUCUGGUUUAUGAAGUAUUAAAUCUUCUUUAAACCUUGAAUCAUGUCGCAAUCCCUUUCGUAGGGCGGAUAAAGCCGAUUGUUGUGAGAUUCUUGGGAGUUUUGACAGCACUCCUUUGAAUUUGGUGAUGAAAACUCGAAGUGACUCAUUUGAUCCUUGUGAUAGGUUCCAAAGAUCGGCAUCCGAAACGCUUUUAUCCAUAAGGAUGGAAUAUUGCUUUAAGAACACAGCUGAUAGCUCGUCAAAAUUGCUGAUCGAACCCGGCUCUAAUUGGGUGAACCACAUUAGAGCUUGGCCGCAUAGAUUUUCUGAAAAGAGCUUACAGUAACCUGCAUCCUCGUCAGCUUCAUCCAAUUCGACUCUUCCAGCUGCGAUCAGAAAAGCUGCGAGAUAGCUCUUUGGAUCCUCCAAUCCGCUGUAAGGGUCCAACUUGAGCUUCCGGGAAUCUUUGAUUCUCAAACUCGCAAUUCGCGAGAUGAAAGGUGUUCGCCUAGCUUCUUCAAUGACUCGAUUGAUGUCUAGCUCCGAACUUGUAGCUUGAUGGAACUUUGACUUCAUUUCUUUUAGUUCCUGGCUAACCUUCCUCAUAGUCUCGAACUGGUCGAGGUUUUCCUGCUCGUAUUGAUCUGCAAGUUGAGCUUCAUCUUCGAGUUGUGCCUCUCCAUCCAAUGGCUGAACUAUAUUAUUAGUAGCUCCAGGAGUUGUUUGUCCGCUGGUUUUGUUUCGCGCAACGGAACUUGGCGAGUUGAAUAUCCUCCUUCGGAUUCCCACAGGAUUUCCUGCACUUAAAGAGCGAACACGAGUUUGUAUAGUAUUGACGUUUUGGCUAAGAGAUACCUGGGAUGUUUGCAACGUAUCGACGGCCUUUUCCACAUCCGAGAACUUUUGUGAUAUGUCCGACAUGGUUUGCUGCAUAGCUCUGAGGGUUUCGGCCAAUGAUGUCUCAACGGCGUCUCCUCCGUGCUGCUUAUCUCGGAAAUGUAGUAAAGAAAAAAUCUGACCACUCAAGAAUACUCUAUCCCCACAGACGGCGCCAAAAUGUGGAUGUCGGAUUUGCACACUCAAGUAUUUUUAUUAAGUAGGAAAGAUUACUCUUGAGGGACAAAAAUAAAUAUGUAAAAGGCUUAUGAAUUGUUACAAAAAUUGCUAUAGUAUUUCUUGCUCGAAAGAACGAUCCCCAUACAUGGCCAUUGGCCUUCUUAUUUAUACAUAGAAAAACGACAUUUAAGUGGCUAAUUAAGUAUAAUUAUUCUCUCUUAAAUGUGUCUGUUUUGAUCUUUGCUUUUAAUGCUUAACGUUUGAAUUUGAGUUGAUUCUGAUCUUCAUGGGCCUCGCCUUUUGGCCCAAAUGUCCUUGGACUGACUUAACCAUGACUUCGUCUCCGGCCUCGUGUCGAGGUGUAGUCACUUCGGAUUCUCUUUACGGUGAUAACCACUUCGACUGUUCUUUUGACUUGUGGGUAUAAUUGCUUUAUCCUUUAUGGGCCGUUAUCCUGACUACGUGGCAAUCUUUGGUUGGUCCUGGACCUCUGGUGCGGGAUCCGACACCAACAAGGGGGAGAGAUCUUCAUGGGUGAUAAACAUUUUGGCUCGAGAGGAUUUAACCUUAGUGGAUUCUAGAUCCAAAUUUUGUAGAUCACAAGAUUUUUGGUGCUUCUGUUUGGAUGUUGCGGACAUAAUCUGAGGGAGGGAGUUCACCGGAUUCACCCUCCUUCCUUUGAAUAUCAGUGAUGCGUAGCCGCCGUUUUGGGUUGAGAUCGAGAGGUUUCGAGAGAUUUGCAAAAAGAGAAAAUAAAAGGGGGAACAAAUUAAACAAAAGGAGACAAAGAGAUGAGAUCUAAAGUAAAGAAAUUUCAGGGAGGUGAAAUCCCGACGCCGGCGAGCAAGAGCUCCACCGGCGUCGAAAAGCUUGAGCAACUUGACCUCCUCGAUAGUCGUGUCUGAGAGAGUUCACGGGUUAGUACAAUUUUUUUUUUUUUAUAAGUAUACAAAUGUUAAUAAUGCUCUAUAUAUUUGUUUACAUAUAUACAAAUAUUAAUAACUCUCUAUACAUGUGUUUACAUAUUAAUAAUGUUUAAUGUACAUGUUUACAUCUAUACAAAUAUUAAUAUCGUUCUCUAUAUAUCUAUUUACAUGUAUACAUAGAUGAUAGAUCCAAUAAGUUAAUGCUAUAAUUAUAUUUAACGUUUUAUAUAUGUAUAUUUUUUUGCAUGACUAUUUAUUGGGUAUCUAUUCCAUUAGGUUAGUGGUUUAAAAUUUUAAAUACCCGCCUAAAAGUUUGCGUUAUAGAUUCAAAAUUAAGAGAUUCGAAGACAGUCCGUCAGUUUGCAUUUAAUACAAGUUCCCUCCUUUCUAUCGUCGAGUAAAUGUCACUUCUACAACAGAGCAUUUAAUAACUGUCAUUUCAUUUUUUUUUCUUCCCCAAAUGUCAAUGGCGCUAUCACACGCGCAUGACUCCGUAACCAACUGGUUUUAUUGUAAUUUUUUUGAAGUUGAGGGCCAUUAAUAACGUUUAAUUUUUGUUUGUCUCGAACAAAGUGACCUAUUACCGAUUAUCUAAUUAGAAGUCACAUUUUUACCUCUGCGCAAAUUCACUCUAAAGAAAAAACAUUGUCAUCACCUAUUAGUAACAAAAGUUUCAUGCUCACGUGUCGUUCGAAGAGAGAUUCUUAGCCAUUUAAAUAAUUGCUUAAACUUUAUAUAUUUACAAAUUUUGCCAUUAGUGUUAUAGUAUAUACAUAUUUUACACAAAUAAAAAAAAAGAAGUUUAAAUUAAAUAAAGCAUAUUAUGAACUAAUAAACUAUUCACAAAAAUUUAUAUGAUUCUUUGUUAUUUAAGUUAGAAAAUAUUUUAUCGUUUUCAAUCAUUGUACGGGUAAAACAAAUUUAAAUACGAAAAAUCGAUGAUUGGAAUGGUAUAAAAAAUUUAUUAGAUGUUUUUUAAAAUAAUUUAGAUAUUAGAUAAUAACAAUACGGGAAAAUAUCAUUUAGAUAAUCAGUUUACCAUUUUCGUUGGUUUAAAAUAUGAACUCUGGACCUGGUGAUUUAAAUCUUCAAUUUUAUGUGGAUCUGGUGUUUUAAAUCCUCAAUUUUAUGUUGAUUUUCAAUUUAAUCACGAAUUCUCGUUGACUAAGCCAAUUGAGGCACAUUGUUAACUGGCUAAAUGUCAUCGCAUAUUUUUUGAAGAGGAAGACGGAAACCCUGUUGGUGUAGAAGAAAAAUUAAUGGAUGGCUUCGAAGUGAUAGUUAUGCGAUGACAUCUUCUUAUUGAUAUGUUUAGCCGGUUAACGAUAUGUCAAUUGGCUUUGUCAACGAGAAUUCAUGAUUAAAAUGAAAAUCAACAUAAAAUUAGGAUUUAAAUACCAGAUCUAAAAUUCAUGCUUUAGACCAACGAAAAUGGUAAACUGAUGAUUUAAAUGACAUUUUUCCCGAUAAUAAUACCAAUCAUUUUGUAAAUAGAAGUACAAUUUAACAAUCAUAUCGGUAAACUAUCUAGUUAAUUAUGCUCAUAUUUUGUUACGUUUUUCACUUAACAUAUCUAAGUAAUAUUAAAUAACUCAUAAACUUAACUUUAUGUAACUCAAUUUUCAUAUUCUGCUAGAUUAUUUUAGUACUGUUAACCAUGCAUCUUUGACUCCUUCUUUGUAAAAUAUCUUUGCAAGAUUCCAAAUUUUCCAGUGUCCCACAUACAUCCAUUUGCGUCUGUCAUUGAGCUUAAUGUAACUCACAUUCACAUUAUCACGGGUCAUAAAAACCCGAACACGAACUUCUAUUGGUAUGAAUGUUAAAACUGAUGAUAACAAAAUAAAACAAAUAACAUUUUCUUUAAAUUCAUACUACGCAAUUCUAGGUAAUAUAUAACGUUCAUACAAAGUUUUUGAGAAUUUACUAAUUACCUAAUGCCCUGAUCGAGUUCAACCUGAGAAGCUAUAAUUUUGGCUCGUUAUGAAUGAGAAACUGAAAAGAAAAAAAAAAGUUGAUUUACGAGUUCAGGAUAUUCGAGUCGAGAUAUUUACGCGUCUCGGGCUCGCGGCUAGAAAAUCUAGUAAUUCACUAUCAAGAAUAUACAACAUGCGUAGCUCUACUCUAAAGUCGUGAACUCGUGAUGAUGGAGUUUCAAAACAGAGUUACAAGCUCUUAUAAUAUCAAACCCUUCAUCCGAAUAAGAGACUCUCUCUUAAACCUUGAUACCGAAUUAACCAGUCUCUAUUUUCAUGGUUAUGUUUUAAUGAGCUAAACCGAAUAAACCUGAGUUCUAAACGAAUCACUUCUUCAACAGUACCGCUCAUUCAUGGAUAAAAUAGAUUCUUAAAAAGUCGAACAACGCAUCAAAACAUUCGGUCAAGAAUUGAUUUCGGUUCGAACUUUUCGCUACAAAAACAUUCGAUCAAGGCCUCUUAGACAUGGGCGUCCAUAUUCUCUUCCAAGAUCUCUCAUUCAUAGGAAUAUAGGAUCAUGAUUUAUUGAAAGCACAUAAACAUCAUUGUAUAGAUAUGAUCAAUCAAACCACAUUUCUCCCGGUCAAACAAGAAGAAAACUUUGAUGUCAAUAACUGAGCUGUUCAUUCUCUUACUCAAAAGCUGACGAUAACACACACACAUAUAUAUAUAUAUAUAUAUAUAUAUAUAUAUAUCUUUAGUUGAGAAUGUCUACUCAUAACUUAGUGUUUUAAAUACAGUUUUAGGAUUAUUGAAAAUCAUGUUUUAAAUGAAAAAUUCAAACUAAGCUCGAAAUAUGUAAUAGUUAGGUGAAUAUCACAAUGAUCAAUAGUUUUUAGUAGAAAUGAACUAUUUAGUAAAUAAAAUUAGCAUUCUACAGCAUGAAAAUUUAAAUAUAAAGAUUUUAAUUAUAAUCUUAAUGCAAGAAUUUCGAAAUAAGACAUUGGGUACAAAAUCUCUUUUAUUAAACGGGGAACGUUGAAAAUAGAAAUAGAUUGCUACAAAGCAUACAUUUGAGAGGAAAAAAAAAAACUAUGAAAGUCUCACACAUUUAUUAUUUCACUUUAACAAAUUCAAAUUUAAACAAAAACUCUAGCUUACAUGCAUUUAUUCAAAUUGUAAUUGUUUUGAGGGGGAAACUGUGCAUCACAUCGUAUGCAUAGCUGUUGAUAUCGUUCAAGCACAUUGGAAACCAGACGGAAGCUUUCUGUUACAAACGUUGAGAAGAACGCUGAGAGAUAUUGGAACGUUAAGGUUGAUGCCGAGAACGUUAGCCCUCAGAGCAGUGCAGAGACAAACCGCAGCGUCGACGUCAACCAAACCUUGGAUGAGCGAGCAACAUGGUUGAGCUGAUGGCUGACCCAAUUGUAUGUUGAGUAGACUGCUUAGAACGUUUGCACAUACACCAAGCUUGAGAGCAUCGAUAGGACAGUUUCCAGAUGAACCAGUGCUGGGAGGCGUGACGGGCCUAGGGUUAGGAUUUGGGACCGAAGGACUUGGGACUGAAGGACUUGGGACCGGCUUGGGUUUAGGACUUGGGACUGGCUUGGGCUUAGGACUAGGGACCGGUUUGUGCUUAGGACUCUGGUUGCAACCACAAUCAGUUGCAGCAGUUAAGGUGAAGAAUAGGAUGUUGAGGGCGAAGAAAAGAGCAAUAGAGGCUGAGUUCUUUGAAGCCAUUUUUUUCUUUUGAAAAGAUAGGUUCGGUGUUUAAGGAUUAUUGAGUGUGUUUGAGAGAGAGUGAUGAAUAAAAAUGAAGAGAGGGUGUGGGAAUUUAUAGGGUAUUAGAAGGAUGUGAAGAGGACCAACUUGUUCUAGUAUAAUUGAUUAUUUACAGAUAUUUGUACGUAAUUCUACAAAAUAUCUGUUUUUAUUUUUUUUAUUUGUGCGUAUCUACAUAUACAAAUUCUGACCUUUUUAUUUUCUUUUAUGUAGAUUCGUAGAACCUUAGAAAUUAUUUAUUAAAUCCUUUUCACGAAACUAUUAUAAUUAAGGGGAUGUGCCUUUAAUCAAGUGGUUAACUCCAUUUGACUCUGCCUUCCCCACCGGAGUUCGACUCCUCUAAGUCGCGUUAUCCCGCGUAGUAGGGAUUGGCUAUGGAUCGUCAUUGUCGAUCCAAAGAUGUCAAAAAAAAAAAAAACUAUUGUAAUUAAGAAAAUAUAUGAUUCGUGCAUUCAUAUUAGUAUUAUUCUCAAAUUAUCAAUGCGUUAUAAUCACCGCCAUCAUGAUGAAUUCAUGACCUCAUUGCACAUAUUUUCAAAUUCUUUUUGGCUCGUAACCAUUUUUACUUGAGAGUUUCUAUAUGUUAGUCUAGUAGUUUUAGUACAUUCCAGAGGAACUUGUGCUCCGCAUCCUUUUCGGAAUCUUGCUUGGAAUGAAUGUAUUUAUCACAAACUGGUCCUAGAAGAGGGAGAUAUCAUCGGAAAUUCCCGAACUUCCUCGGAUUUAUUUUUUCAGAAUGUGAAUGUUUUCGAAUUUUUAGAUCCUCUUAUGCAUAAAAUAGGAGGACACCAAAACCCUGGAUGAAUCGAGUUGUUCUAUAUGGUUGUGUCAUUGGUGACGUAAAGGAAAAACAUAAAUACAAAUUGGACCUCAUAUGGAUUAUGACUAAUCCCAAUUGGCAAGAGAAUUUAGACAUGACUGGCUUUUAAGGGUGUAUAAACACCUCAAUUUUUUCUUCUAUAUGCAUAAGGUUAGACCGAUUUGUAUUGUUUUACAUUCUUGCAUUUGAGAUUUGAAAUUACGGAAUUUUGAUGAAGAAGGGGUUCGCGGUUGGCUAAAAACAACCCGUGAUGACAUCCACGCGAAUAGAGUGAUCGAGCACUUUUCUUGGACAAUCACAUUAAUUAGAAUUGAAUUUUUUAGAUUAUACAUUUAAUAGGGUAAGGUUUAGUCGAUAGUUAGAUUAGAAUCCUAAUUUAAUAAACCCAAUAUUAUUUAGUCUAUACGCUAUUUUCUAUGGAGAAAUACAACUAACUUUGAGAAAAUAUGUUCACAUAUAAAAACAAAGGAAUCUAAAUUAUGGGUAUAACCCAAACAUGAAACUAAGAUGUGAACUAACUUAAGAGUAACGCAAAAUCAUUUGAUUUUCCGGAAAAGGCUGGUUAGAAUGCUUUUUAAAGUCAAUAAUAACUUUUGUCCCAAAAGAAAAUAUCAUCUUUUUUCAGCAAUGCUAGGACAAAAAUAAAUAAAAGUCAAUUAUAAUAACAUUUGGAACUUCUUAAAAUUAAACACAGUGAUACACGAAUAUAUAAUAUGGUUUGACUGUGCAUAUAUCUAUUAUAUACUUUGAAACAGAGUAUUAUUCUUCAUGUUUAAACGCCAAUUACAUUUAAACUGAUAUUUCAAGGGCAGCAUAUUCAUAUCAUAAUUAUUAAUAUGUGGAUUAUAAAUUGAACUUCGUAUUAAGAAUAAAAACUAUGUAUCAAUUUUUUCUUACGAAGAUUUUAUUUUGUAACCGCAAUAAUAUUUUAAAUAUAUAUGCUGUAUUCUAAUAUAAACAAAUACCGAAAUUAUUUUGUAGUUAUCGUUCUUUUGAAUUGCUCUGUCCAACUAGAAAAACAUCUCCAAAUUAAAAAAAUUAUUUUACUGCUACAAAACAUUACUACAUUGAUAUAUAAAUGCAACAUACUAUUAUAUGCUGAUAUUGUAGUAUCUUUUAUCAAGUUAAAAGUUUGAUUAUCAAAGGCUAAACAAAGCAUCGGUACGUUCAACUACACUAGAAUUUUGGUGAAGUAUCAAAUUAUAUUUUGAUACUUUAAGCUUGACUUCAUAUUGAUUUUUUUUUGUCGAAAGACUUCAUAUUGAUUGGAAAGUAAAAUUUAAAGGAAAUACUUGUAAAUAUAUUUGUAAGAUGGAUCUCCUCCUUUCUCACUCUUGUAAAUAUUGAUUGUAAAUAUAAUUGUAUUUUAAUACAGUUGAAAAAUACUUAAUCAUAUAUUUGUAAGCUCGGGAUUAAGAUUUGUUUGUAUUGAACCUCAUUUUUCAAAAAAAGACUAAACUCAUGCGGAAUAUUCGAAUCCAAAAAUAGAAGUAAAAAAAUAUUUGAAUACAUAAGACAUUGACUAUGAAACGUCGUUCAUUUAAUUUAACUGUAUUAAACAAAACACAAACUUACAACAAAAACAGAAAAGCGUUUACAAAGAAGUAUAUAAAUAACGUCUCUCACUUAAACAAAAGAUUGAAACAUUAAACCUUAAACUUGCAUACAUGCAUGUAAUUAUUAAUAUUGUAAUUAUUUUGAAGAGGAAAAUGUGUGUGCACGUCCUAUGCAUAAUCGAUACCGCUCAAGCACAUUGAAAACCAGACGGAAGCCUUCUGUUACAAACGUUGAGAAGAACGCUGAGAGAUAUGGGAACGUUAAGGUUGAUGCCAAGAACGUUAGCCCUAAGAGCAGUGCAGAGACAAAUCGCAGCGUCGAGGUCAACCAAACCUUGGAUGAGAGAGCAGCAUGGCUGAGCUGAUGGCUGUCCCAACUGCACGUUAAGUAGACCGCUUAGGACAUUCGCACAUACACCGAGUCUGAGAGCAUCGAUGGGACAGUUUCUCGAUGAGCCAGGGGUGCUCGGAGGUGUGACGGGAGUUGGUACGGAAGGAUUUGGGACCGAAGGAGUUGGGACCGAAGGAGUUGGAACCGAAGGACUUGGGACGGAAGGAGUUGGAACCGAAGGAAUUGGGACGGAAGGAGUUGGAACUGAAGGACUUGGGACCGGCCUAGGCUUAGGACUUGGGAUCGGCUUGUGCUUAGGACUUGGGUUGCAUCUACAAUCAGUAGCAGCGGUUAAGGUGAAAAAAAGGAUGUUGAGGGCAAAGAAAAGAGCAAGAGAGGCUGAGUUCUUUGAAGCCAUUGUUAUUGAGUGUGUUUGAGAGAGAGAUGAAAUAAAAUGAAGAGAGGGUGUGGGUAUUUAUAGGAUUUUAGAAGGAUGUGAAGAUCAUUUAAACUAGUUUGAAAAAUACAAUUAGUUUUAAGUAUAUAAUAAAAAUAUAUAAUUUUUGUUUUGAUAUAAAAUGAAAACAUAUAAAAUUAUUUAUAUAUAUACGAUAAAAGAUAAAAUUUGAGGAUCACAUUAUGAACAAAAAAUUUGAGUAGAAAAUGGAGUACCAUUGAAAUAGUCUCAAAACCGGUCGUAAUUAACAACCCAAUAAUUACAAAUCCUGGUUGAAUUUUAAAUUGCUAGCUAUACACAGUGUUCACUCGAUCGAUAGUUAGAUUAGUUUCCUACUUUGAUAAACUGAUACUUAAAACCAAACUGAUUAUACGUAGUUAGCUGUUCGAUCAUAAAUAUAACUAACUUUGAGAAAAUAUGUCAUGGGGAACUAAGAUGUGAACAUACUCAUCAAAAUUUAGUGUAACGCAAAAUCAUUUGAUUUUCCGGAAAAUUAAACGCUGGUUCAGUGUAUCUUAAAGUCAAUAGUAAUAUUUUGUCCUGAAAGAAAAUCUCAUCUUUUUUAGCAAUGCUAGGACAAAAAGAAAAAAAGAUAGACCAAUAUUUGCACUGCAAAAACAUAAUUGUUUCAGCAAUGCGAAGACCAAACAAAAUAAGUCAAUUAAGACAAUAACAUUUGGAUUCUUUAAAAGAGAUGAAGAACAAGAAAAACUAACACGGUGAUAUGGACACAUUAAUACUUUAAUAUAAAUGGAAAAAGUCAUACAAAAAUAAUAAUAAGGUUUAACUAGGUAGCUAUUAUCUUUCCACCACGGUCAUACGUGACAUCGUCGAAAUUUUGAGUUAGUCGUAUAUUCAUUUCAUAACUAUUAGAUAUUGGAUUGGAGGUAUAUUACUAUAGUAUUCGAUGUAUCACACUUUUUAAUCAUGUUUGUUUAUGGUAUCCCGAUACUGAAUGUAAAUUUAGAGUUAAGGUUUAAUAUUCAAAUGUUCGUAUUAAAAAUAAAGUUGUAAAUUAAAAAAUAGUUAAUAAAUUUCAAAGUAGAAAAAAGCCUAAAACCAAAUGAAAAAAAAAAAGCCUUUGAGCGGCUUCUCUCACAGAACUUGAAAAUUCUAGCCGCCGACUAAAUUUUUUACUAGUUUUUCUUUUCGGCUUGUGCGUGUAUCACUUACGGUUCUUCGUUUCGUGGUUAGUGUCUCUUUCCGGUGGCGAUAAAAGUGACUAGAGUUUGCAAUACGGAGAUGCGAGAGUGAGUCACGACGGCAACAUUUGUUCCUCGGCUUGUUGAGUCACUUUGGGAGUUUUUGGUCUUUCCAAAUUUGUGAGGACUGGAUCGGGGGCUUGUGUCACCACAUAUGUAAAUUUACUUCUGUACAUAGAACUUUUUUUUUUUUUUGGUUUAAUUUUUAUACAUAGAACUUAGUGUAGCUAACAUUUACAUUAUCACGAAUCAUAUACAUUCCGAACAUAUAUUACCCUCCAUUCGUAUGCAUAUUAAUUAAAAAGAAUUAGAAAUAGACGUCCAAACAUAUUUCAUUAAACAGGUUGAAAAUUGAUAAAUAAAUUGCUACAAAAGUAUUCGAUAUUUUGUUGAGUUUUUAAAUACUUUAACUGGUUAAGAUCUAUAUAUAAUAAUAUUUGAGAAGUGUUUUUGCUGACGUGUCGGACUCUCGGCUCUUGUUGAGUCAUUGAUUUUACGUAAUUACUUAAUUAUCCUUAAUGAAAUCUAAUUAAUUUUGGAAAAAUUAAAUUGAAUUUCGGAAUUAACCAGGAAAAAAUAAUUUUUGAAACAAUAAACAUGAUAAUUAACCAAAAAAAAAAAAAGGAACAACGAAGUACGAGUUAGGAAGCUUUAAUUGAAUUCAUCGUGUUCUUCGUCGUGUGAAUAUAAUUCUUCUAAACGAAGGCAAAACUUGAAAUCCUAACAUAAAGCAUAUAUUCAUAGCAAUAACAGAGAUCUAAUAAUUUAGUGAUAGAAUUUCACCUGUUGAUCUGUCGAAGCAGAAUAGUCAAGCUUCUCAUAGUAUCUUGCCCAUGUUAUGUCUUUAAGACGUCAAUACUAUCCUGCACCCUAUAAUUCUAACCAAUGAAAAGAACAAAUAUUUAUUACCUUGGAUACAGAGUUGACGAAGAAACCUUGGAUAAAAACUCGACGAAGAAACUUGUAAGUGUUAAUGUAUGAUGAAGCUUCCAUGAACGUGAAGUCGUGAUCAUAAUGAAGAAACGUGUGAAUGGAGACGGUUGAUGGUUUUUUUUUUUUUUUUUUUUUUUUUUUACCUUUUGUGUAAACAGAUCUGUUUCAUAAUUUAUCGGAAAAGGAAUUAUACCAAAAAAAAAAAAUCGGAAAAGGAAAAUAUUUAUUAUAAUAUUGAUAUAUUUAAGAUGAUAAUGUCAAAUAUCCGAAAAUUAUUAAUCGGAGCAUUAAUAUAAACAUAAAAGAAUACUAUUCUAACCUUACUCAAAUUAAUAAGAUUUAGAUAUCCGAAAUUAAUCGUAAACGGCUAUUAAUUGUUAAACUAAUUAAAAUAAAGAUCAAACGUACCGGAAUAGAUGAAAUUUUUGGUAUGAUCGUCGUGUUCGUCGUCGUCGUUUCAAUCUAAAUAUUUGGAAAAAAAAACGAACAAAAAAAAUAAUAUGUAGAUCAAUGAAAGAGAACCCACCAAUUUAGAAACGGUUAUCACGCCAUCGUAUUGUUCGUCGGAUGAUUAUAAGUCUCUAAUCCGGAGAUUGACUUGAACCCUGACAAAAACAUAUAUUCAUAGCAUAAAAUCGUAAAUAGAAGGUAGAAGACCACCUAUUAAUCGGUUGUAACCUUGUGCAAACUCGAUUUAAUUUUGACGAAUGAAAUGUUGGUGUGGUGUCAAAACUUUCUUGGGGAGACUCGAAGAUGAGAGAACUGAAGUCAGAGAUAGGCAGAGAGGUUUACAUGUGAAUUAAGGUAUGGAGUGCUAACGUGAACAUGAACGUGAACGGUGGUGAUUUUUGCACAUAAUAGCAAUUAGAUCGAGUUUUGGAAAAAAAUAUGGAUCAGCGUGACAUGACGCAUAUGGAUACCAUGCAUGUCUAUCUAUUGUAAAUCAAAAAUUAUAUUAUUGUUCCGCCUUAUUUUUGAAACAGAAAGGAAUUUUCCUUAAAUUUUAAUAUAUUUUAUAAGAUAGUAUCAGAUAUAGUAGUAAAUCUAAAAUAGUUGUUAUUAUUCUAUAUUUUUACCGAAAAAAGUAAAUAUUAUUUUAAAUAAACAUGGAUAACAAUGAAUAAAUGGCAGUUUUACAAAUAUUUAUUAUUAUGAUAGUGAUUUGCUUAUUAAAAUAUGUAAAUUUUCUUUUCUUUUUUUGUAUUUAUCGUCGAAAAAUUUAGAAACUCUAAAUCAUGCACCGCCUCCUAUUCAAUAUAAAUACCUUGCUCAUGGUAUUCAAUUUCAGAUCAUAACUAACCUUUGUUUUUUUGUUCUUUUUUUUCAAACUUUUUUUUGCUUCUACCUAAUUUUAAUUUUUCUUUUUAUUGUAGGGUGGAUGUAUGGAGGGGACGAUGUGAACUGGUGUAUGGAAAAUUUGGACCUAAUUCAAUGAAUAAACAGGUGAUCUUAUAGUUUAUAUGUACAAAUUUGAUUUUUUUUUUUUUGUAUUUAUGGUUUCACUAUUUUCACCACUAAUCAAUUUUUAUAAUCAAAAAGUUUGGUUUCAACUUUUGAGAAGGUAAUCAUCGAUGGUUUGGUAUGUUUCUUUUUGUUGUAAAAAGAUGAGGUACCUCCCGAUUUUGUUGAGGUACAUGUUCUUAUUAUUUUCAAAUAUGUCUUUUCUCAGAAGAAACACUCAACUUUUGAUAACACAGUUGUCACAAAGUCAGAAAGAUGACUUAUUUCAGGGAUGAAUCUUCAGAGGAGGCUAAUUUUUGUCGUUAAUACAAUUUAAGUAUUCCUCUCUUUAGAUUAGGGAUAACAAACUUGGCUGUUAAAUUCAGGAAUUACUCUUCGUUGCCAAUCUCUCUCCCCAAACUAAUAUAUUACAUAUAUGGAAGUAGUAACUUAAAGUUUUUGGUAUCGAGGUCAUUCUAAGGCACUGAGAUUCGGACUUUGGUAUGUAUAGGAUUCGUUUUCCAUGCACUAAGAUUUAAUUAUUGUUUAAUUUAUUGGUUUUUAGGUUUCUUUCCAUGCUCUGAUGCGUUUUCGGGUGUGCCAAUGGAAGCUUGCAUCACUUUUUACUCCAAGCGUAAGUAUGCUCUGCAUUAGCUUCUUCUGUUCCAUUGGUUAUUAUAGGUUUUGACUUUUGAGAAAUAUACAACAAUUUAAAACCAGGUUUUGUUGUUGAUUGGUUCGGUUUGUAUACCAUAUUUUGCUAAAUACAUAUGACCAUAAAUAAGACCAAAGGAGCUGGGUUAGCUCCUUUGCCAGCUAGGUUGACUUCGUCUCCUCCCCGUCUUGCGGAUUUCCGUUAUUCAACGGGUAUAUUUGAGAAGUAUACGGUACUAAAACCACAACCAUUGAUCUUAGCUUGAUCGGUUCUUCCCUAGGAUUUAUACAUAAAAGUAAAUUGUUUUGUUUAAUAAUUUUCCAUUGCAUGAACUUUCGAGACAACAAGUGGACAGGAGUGUAAUGUCAUCAAAAGUCAAAUCAAACACUGUGAGGAACAUAUUAGACAACGUUGGCUUCUUUCGCAGUUGCUCAACGUUGUCUCUCCCGAUGGUCCCAACACUCUUGGGACACUGUGGGCCACUCUACUUAUUCGAAGACGNNNNNNNNNNNNNNNNNNNNNNNNNNNNNNNNNNNNNNNNNNNNNNNNNNNNNNNNNNNNNNNNNNNNNNNNNNNNNNNNNNNNNNNNNNNNNNNNNNNNAAUUUUACAAGCUAUUUUAUAAGGUUUUACAAGUUUUUUAUAAGGUUUUACAAGUUAUAAAUACCUUAUAAAACCUUAUAAGUACCUUGUAAAACCUUUUAAAAUACAUUGUAAAACCUUACAAAACACUUGUAAAUACUCCGUAAAACCUUUAAAAUACCUUGUAAAUUUUUCCCGCCAAAAAUUUUCCCGCCAAAAAAAUUUCGGCAAAAAAAUUGCGGAAUCACUUUUCCCGCAAAAAAAAAUUUUUGGCGGGAAAAUUUUUUGGCGGGAAAAAUUUUUACGGAAAAAUUUUACAAGGUAUUUUAAAGGUUUUUACAAGUGUUUUGGCGGGAAAAUUGCGGGAUCACUUUUCCCGCCAAAAAAUAUUUUGUAUUUUGUGGACCUAAUUUUGUUUCAAAUAAGGGUAAAAUGGUCAUUAAAAAUUAAAAGAGGACAAACUUAAAAAUGGACUCUCAAAAGGGGCAUUUUUGAAAAGGGGUAUUGAAAAAGGGGCAUUUUUAACAAUUUCUCUAAAAAAAAUUAUUUUCUUAAUUUGUUUUAUUUUGUUUAAUUUUAAGUUGAAUUUCUUAUUUCUAUUUAAAUGUAAUCUUACAUGGCACAAUUUCAUUGGCUAAAUUUAGAGGAGGUGAAUGAAGAGGUUCACCCCUAGGAGUGAACCCAAGAAUUGUUUUUUAAGUAACCAUUGUCUUUCCUAUUAUUGAGUUGCUUAUUAUUUCCAGUUUUGCGUAAUUUGGAAAUAUAUAUUUAACUGAUUACAUAAGCUUGGAUUUGGUUUGGCCGGUUCUAAUUCCACAUUGGGUUUUAGUUUUGUUUAUGAUUUAGCAAUUAUCAAAGUACGAUCUUUACCCAAUCUUGCUUUUUUGUUGUGUAAGAGAAUUUCAAAGCAAUUAAUUUGCAAGGUUUAUAAAUAUGAAUAAUAAUAAUAGGGUUACAAUAUCAUGAAAUCUAAAUGAAAAUAAAUAAAAACAGAAUUAGCGAAGCAACUAUAUUGAUGAGCUACGUAAUAACCUAAAUAAAUAAUUGAUAAUAUAUUAACAAUAAGAAAUAAUUGAUACAUGAUAAAAGUUAAGCAUCAGAACUGGAGACUGGAGGGUGCAAUCCGUGUUAGUCUUCUGUGAAACAGUCACAUAUAGCUACCAAGAUUAGUAUGAGAAGCAAACUCACGGUAACAAUUGUUCCGAUGAAUUCAAUUGGACUAACAACCAUAUUGUUUCUUCAACACACCAAAACUUGUCUUCUCUAACUUUUUUUUGUGUCUUCUUUUUUUUUAGCAAGGAUAUUUUGUAUAAGAUGAGUAAUAUAUUAAUAGAGUAUAUAUACAUGUUCUAAUUGCCUUAUAUCCACAACUUGGCGAUCAAAAUUAACAUAACGAAAAAGUUAACAUAACAAAAUCGAAAAACAAAGAGAAAGAAUUAAGUUAACAUUAAAAAAAAGGAAAUUUAAGUGAGUGGGGUAGUUUUUAAGUUUAUAUGUAAGAGAUUGGGUAGUUUAGAUUAGGGUUUAGGAAAAGGGUGGUUUCUACUGUUGGGUGUUCGAUUAUAUCCCUGACCAACUCGAUUAUUUAGGAAAAGGUUGACUGGUCAUGAGUAUAAUAUUUCCAGUUUUAGGUAAAUUAUUUUAUUUAUUUGUUCAAAAAAAAAAGUUAAAUUAUUUUAUUUCGUUUUUCUUUAAUUAAAAAUACGAAAAGUGUACAAAAACAAAAAGAUGUAAAUUGAACCCAAUGCUCAUUGGCUAUUUAAACGGGGUAAAACCAGAUUUUUGUUUUUAAGGUUUUUUGGUUUUUGAUUUUAGUUUCGUUUUUUUUUUUUUUUUUAAUUAUUAGACGUUUUUUCAAUUUUCUAUUUUAAUUUUUAGUUUCUGUUUUGUUUUUAAAAUUUAUUAAAUCAAUUAUAAUUAAAAAGUUAAAAAAAUUACAAAUGCUCAAAAAAUAUGUCACGUAAAUUUGUUGGAGGAAACCCAGAGAAUUUAGUUUUUGGAUUAUGUGAACAAAUUACCAAAAUCUAUUAAAUUUCAUAUUCCUUAUUUUUAAAAUUUACUUUUGUCAUCCUCGUUAAUGGCAGUAAAUUAGUUUUUGUAAAAUCAAAAAUUCAAAACAACUUCAAAAUCUGCAGGCAUUCAAAACAACUUCAAAAUUUGAAGGAUCACAUUAUAAACAAAAAAAAUUCCACUCCAAAAUGAAAGAAAUUGUAUUACCCAAAAUUGUUCAGUACCCCAGAUUGUUCACCACUAUAUUAAAAAUGGUUGUCCUUUAUAAUGAGUAUUGAGUAGGAAGUGGAGUACCAUUGAAACUACACUCAAAACCGGUCGUAAUUAACAACCCAAUAAUUACAAAUCCUGGUUGAAUUUUAAAUUGCUAUGCUAGCUAUACACAGGGUUCACUCGACCGAUAGUUAAUUAAGCUGAUAGCUUAAAACCAAACUGAUUAUAUUUAGCUUAUACUGUUCUAUCAAAAAUGUAAGUAACUUUGAGAAAAUAUGUCAUGAGCAUAACCCACAACAUGAAACUACACUUUUCACAAAAAAAAAACAUGAAACUACACUUUUCACAAAAAAAAAAAAAAAACAUGAAACUAGAUGUGAACAUAUUCGAAAUUUGGAAUCACGCAAUAUCAUUUGAUUUUCCGGAAAAUGCUUGUUUAGUGUUUUCCUAAAGUCAAUAGUAAUAUUUUUGUCCCGAAAGAAAAAUCUCAUCAUUUUUAGCAAUGCUAGGACAAAACGAAAAAAAAGAUAGAUCUAAUAUUUGCACCGAAAGAAAAUAUCAUCGUAAACAAUGCAAAGACAAAAAAAAAAGUCAAUUAAGAAAAUAUAUAACACUUGGAUUCUUUAAAAGAAAUUAAGAACAAGAAAAACUAACACGGUGAUAUGGACACAUUUAAUAAUUUAAUAUAUGGUUUUAAAGAAAAUCAUACAAAAAAAUUAGAUUUCAAGUGGUUAUCUUUCCACCACGGCAGUACGGGGGAUCGUCGGAAUUAUUAGGUAUGAAUGUAAAUUUUGAGUUAAGGUCAGAUGUUCGUAUUAAAAAUAAAUUUCAAAGUUGUGACUUUAAGUUUCUACUUGUAUAUUAUAUUCAGUUGUUGGAUGAAAUAUAAAUUAGCUAUAUUUUACUGCAAAUAAAUAAAGUUUCUUGUUAAAGCUAGCAAAUAAAUACAUUUUUUUGUGAGGCCAAAUUCCUCUAAAACAUUUUUCUUUAAAUGUUUAAAAAUAUAUAAAGGGGAAAUAUAUUUUCUAGUGCUUUUGGUAAAUAAUGCAUCUAAGGGAUAGAUACUUGCUCUCUGUAAUCCUCUCAUUUUUAGUACCUAUCUUCAGUGUUUACUUUGCUAAGAGCUUCUUGAUAGGCAUACAUCUUUGCAAUCUCAGAUCAAUAUACUACAAAUACAUAUACGAUACAGUUAAGAAAAUGAUAUUUCUCUUACAACUUUUUAUAUGGGUUUUAUAAACAAGAGAUCAACUGAAGGGUUACGCAGCGACCAAUGGCGAAGGUAGAGACAAAGAUACUACAAUAGGGACGAUAAAUAUGACACGAUAUAUACAAAAGAGAUGCCUGUUUCUAUACCAUUGAAAUUUUACGUACAUAACUACUUCAAAGAGCAAGAUGACUUACUUCAUAGGUAAGAGAUAUGGUAAGAGAUUAUAUUUUUCAAUUAUUUGUUUCCAACUACGAAAAACUCCAGUGACAUACAAUCUAAAAGCAUGAAUAUGUCAUAAAAUCAAGAAUACAACAAAAACCAGGAAGAUGGGCCCAAAUUAAAGUCCGAAACUGGACGUGGGGAACCCACAGACAGUGGCGGUCGGAGCAUUACAAAUAUGAAAGAAACGAGGAAGCGUGAAUAUGUCAUAAAACCAAGAGUACUACAGAACCAAGAAGAUGUGCUCAAAGAACGAAACUGGACGUGGGAACCCACAGACAGUGGCGGUCGUGGCAUUACAAAUAUGAAAGAAACGAGUAAGCAUGAAUAUGUCAUAAAAUCAAGAGUACGACAAAACAAAGAAGAUGGGCCUAAAGACCGAAACUGGACGUGGGGAGCCCACGGACAGUGGCGGUCGGGGCGUUGCUAAUAUGAAAGAAACGAGUAAGCAUGAAUAUGUCAUAAAAUCAAGAGUACGACAAAACAAAGAAGAUGGGCCUAAAGACCGAGACUGGACGUGGGAACCCAUGGACAGUGGCGGUCGGGGCGUUGCUAAUAUAUUGUUGGUUUAAAUAUAUAGAUUUUUUAUAUUUAAUUCUAUUAUAUAUAUCAAGAUAUAAACACUAAUAAUUGUUUGUGAUUCAAAAACACUAUUAAUUGUUGAUUACUAAUAAUAUAUAUCAAAAGUUAUAGCGUUUUACCAUAAUUCUAUAUUAAUGUCGUUAUAAAAAUUAGACUCUUGACAAAAUUAAUUCAAUAAAUAUCCCUAACUUGAUAACCCUAAAUAUUAAUUAUUAAUUCUGGUCUUAAUCAACAUACAACCCCGCGCUGGGCGCGGGGACCUCCCCUAGUUACAUUUAAAUAGAAAUAAGAAAUUCAACUUAAAACUAAACAAAUUAAGAAAAUAAUUUUUUAAUCUUUUUGUUGAGAUCGACGUCUUCUCGCCGUUGACGUCUUCCCCUCUUUUUCUUUCUUUCUUUUUGUUUUUUUUAUAUUUUUUACCAAGAGAUUUAGAUUAGGGUUUAGGUGUUCUGCAAACAUCUAACGGAUUGAAAUUAAGAUUUCAUAAACGUGUGAGAGCUUGUGAGUGUUUACAAGUCUCGGAUUGAGUUUACCGGUUGUGAUUGGUUAAACUUCAAACUCAUAUUGUGACGAGAGUUUGCGAGCCUCGCGAGCUGUUUAUUAUUUGAACAAAUAAACUUCAAUCAAAUAAACUUCAAUCGAAUUUCAAUCAAGACUUAUUGUCUUUUGGUCCUAAUAUCCUGCAAAUCAAAUAGAUUAAUCUUCUAGUUUUGUGUCUCGAUAUCUCUACAAGGUGAGAGUUUAGAGACUUGUUGUCUCUUGUUUUCAAAUUUCUGAAAAUUGAAAUAGUUAAACGGGACCUGCACUGUUGGUUUGUAUUUCUGGUUUUGCAAAACCUGCAACUUCUAGUUUGAUCUCAGACUUGGACAGUAUUAACGUUGCGAGCAAGUUGUGUUUUGGUUUAGAUUUCUUAGCAGAUCGAAAUUGAUGAUGGAGUAACGGCGAGAAGACGUCAACGACGUUAACAAAAAGAUUAAAAAAAAGGGAGACUCACAAAAAUGCCCCUUUUUCAAUAUCCCUUUUCAAAAAUGCCCCUUUUAGAUGUCUAUUUUUAAAAAUACCCCUUUUAUGUACAAAAUGACUAAAUUACCCUUCUUUUAAUAAAAGAUAUCAUAAAUAUAUAAGGAAAUAUAACAAAAUUAGGUCCACAAAAUACAAAAUAUUUUUUGGCGGGAAAAGGUGAUCCCCCAAUUUUUCCCGCCAAAACACUUGUAAAAAUUUGUAAAACCUUUAAAAUACCUUGUAAAAUUUUCCCGUAAAAUUUUUUCCCGCCAAAAUUUUUCCCCCCCAAAUUUUUUUUCCCGGAAAAAUUAUUCCCCAAAUUUUUUGUCUUUAAUUUUGGGGGAAAUUUUUGGCGGGAAAAUUUACAAGGUAUUUUAAAGGGUUUUUACAGGGUAUUUAUAAGGUUUUACAAUGUAUUUUAAAAGGUUUUACAACGUAUUUAUAAAGUAUUUAUAAGAUAUUAUAAAAUUUUACAAGCUAUUUUAUAAGGUUUUACAAGUUUUUUAUAAGGUUUUACAAGUUAUAAAUACCUUAUAAAACCUUAUAAGUACCUUGUAAACCUUCUAAAUACAUUGUAAACCUUACAAAACACUUGUAAAUACUCCGUAGAACCUUUAAAAUACCUUGUAAAUAUUACCCGCCAAAAAUUUUCCCGCCAAAAAAAUUUCGGCAAAAAAAUUGCGGAAUCACUUUUCCCGCAAAAAAAAAUUUUUGUGCGGGAAAAUUUUUUGGCGGGAAAAAUUUUUACGGAAAAAUUUACAAGGUAUAUUAAAGGUCUUGACAAGUGUAGUGGCGGGAAAAUUGCGGGAUCAUUUUUCCCGCCAAAAAAUAUUUUGUAUUUUGUGGACCUAAUUUUGUUUCAAAUAAGGGUAAAAUGGUCAUUAAAAAUUAAAAGAGGACAAACUUAAAAAUGGACUCUCAAAAGGGGCAUUUUUGAAAAGGGGUAUUGAAAAAGGGGCAUUUUUAACAAUUUCUCUAAAAAAAAUUAUUUUCUUAAUUUGUUUUAUUUUGUUUAAUUUUAAGUUGAAUUUCUUAUUUCUAUUUAAAUGUAAUCUUACAUGGCACAAUUUCAUUGGCUAAAUUUAGAGGAGGUGAAUGAAGAGGUUCACCCCUAGGAGUGAACCCAAGAAUUGUUUUUUAAGUAACCAUUGUCUUUCCUAUUAUUGAGUUGCUUAUUAUUUCCAGUUUUGCGUAAUUUGGAAAUAUAUAUUUAACUGAUUACAUAAGCUUGGAUUUGGUUUGGCCGGUUCUAAUUCCACAUUGGGUUUUAGUUUUGUUUAUGAUUUAGCAAUUAUCAAAGUACGAUCUUUACCCAAUCUUGCUUUUUUGUUGUGUAAGAGAAUUUCAAAGCAAUUAAUUUGCAAGGUUUAUAAAUAUGAAUAAUAAUAAUAGGGUUACAAUAUCAUGAAAUCUAAAUGAAAAUAAAUAAAAACAGAAUUAGCGAAGCAACUAUAUUGAUGAGCUACGUAAUAACCUAAAUAAAUAAUUGAUAAUAUAUUAACAAUAAGAAAUAAUUGAUACAUGAUAAAAGUUAAGCAUCAGAACUGGAGACUGGAGGGUGCAAUCCGUGUUAGUCUUCUGUGAAACAGUCACAUAUAGCUACCAAGAUUAGUAUGAGAAGCAAACUCACGGUAACAAUUGUUCCGAUGAAUUCAAUUGGACUAACAACCAUAUUGUUUCUUCAACACACCAAAACUUGUCUUCUCUAACUUUUUUUUGUGUCUUCUUUUUUUUUAGCAAGGAUAUUUUGUAUAAGAUGAGUAAUAUAUUAAUAGAGUAUAUAUACAUGUUCUAAUUGCCUUAUAUCCACAACUUGGCGAUCAAAAUUAACAUAACGAAAAAGUUAACAUAACAAAAUCGAAAAACAAAGAGAAAGAAUUAAGUUAACAUUAAAAAAAAGGAAAUUUAAGUGAGUGGGGUAGUUUUUAAGUUUAUAUGUAAGAGAUUGGGUAGUUUAGAUUAGGGUUUAGGAAAAGGGUGGUUUCUACUGUUGGGUGUUCGAUUAUAUCCCUGACCAACUCGAUUAUUUAGGAAAAGGUUGACUGGUCAUGAGUAUAAUAUUUCCAGUUUUAGGUAAAUUAUUUUAUUUAUUUGUUCAAAAAAAAAAGUUAAAUUAUUUUAUUUCGUUUUUCUUUAAUUAAAAAUACGAAAAGUGUACAAAAACAAAAAGAUGUAAAUUGAACCCAAUGCUCAUUGGCUAUUUAAACGGGGUAAAACCAGAUUUUUGUUUUUAAGGUUUUUUGGUUUUUGAUUUUAGUUUCGUUUUUUUUUUUUUUUUUAAUUAUUAGACGUUUUUUCAAUUUUCUAUUUUAAUUUUUAGUUUCUGUUUUGUUUUUAAAAUUUAUUAAAUCAAUUAUAAUUAAAAAGUUAAAAAAAUUACAAAUGCUCAAAAAAUAUGUCACGUAAAUUUGUUGGAGGAAACCCAGAGAAUUUAGUUUUUGGAUUAUGUGAACAAAUUACCAAAAUCUAUUAAAUUUCAUAUUCCUUAUUUUUAAAAUUUACUUUUGUCAUCCUCGUUAAUGGCAGUAAAUUAGUUUUUGUAAAAUCAAAAAUUCAAAACAACUUCAAAAUCUGCAGGCAUUCAAAACAACUUCAAAAUUUGAAGGAUCACAUUAUAAACAAAAAAAAUUCCACUCCAAAAUGAAAGAAAUUGUAUUACCCAAAAUUGUUCAGUACCCCAGAUUGUUCACCACUAUAUUAAAAAUGGUUGUCCUUUAUAAUGAGUAUUGAGUAGGAAGUGGAGUACCAUUGAAACUACACUCAAAACCGGUCGUAAUUAACAACCCAAUAAUUACAAAUCCUGGUUGAAUUUUAAAUUGCUAUGCUAGCUAUACACAGGGUUCACUCGACCGAUAGUUAAUUAAGCUGAUAGCUUAAAACCAAACUGAUUAUAUUUAGCUUAUACUGUUCUAUCAAAAAUGUAAGUAACUUUGAGAAAAUAUGUCAUGAGCAUAACCCACAACAUGAAACUACACUUUUCACAAAAAAAAAACAUGAAACUACACUUUUCACAAAAAAAAAAAAAAAACAUGAAACUAGAUGUGAACAUAUUCGAAAUUUGGAAUCACGCAAUAUCAUUUGAUUUUCCGGAAAAUGCUUGUUUAGUGUUUUCCUAAAGUCAAUAGUAAUAUUUUUGUCCCGAAAGAAAAAUCUCAUCAUUUUUAGCAAUGCUAGGACAAAACGAAAAAAAAGAUAGAUCUAAUAUUUGCACCGAAAGAAAAUAUCAUCGUAAACAAUGCAAAGACAAAAAAAAAAGUCAAUUAAGAAAAUAUAUAACACUUGGAUUCUUUAAAAGAAAUUAAGAACAAGAAAAACUAACACGGUGAUAUGGACACAUUUAAUAAUUUAAUAUAUGGUUUUAAAGAAAAUCAUACAAAAAAAUUAGAUUUCAAGUGGUUAUCUUUCCACCACGGCAGUACGGGGGAUCGUCGGAAUUAUUAGGUAUGAAUGUAAAUUUUGAGUUAAGGUCAGAUGUUCGUAUUAAAAAUAAAUUUCAAAGUUGUGACUUUAAGUUUCUACUUGUAUAUUAUAUUCAGUUGUUGGAUGAAAUAUAAAUUAGCUAUAUUUUACUGCAAAUAAAUAAAGUUUCUUGUUAAAGCUAGCAAAUAAAUACAUUUUUUUGUGAGGCCAAAUUCCUCUAAAACAUUUUUCUUUAAAUGUUUAAAAAUAUAUAAAGGGGAAAUAUAUUUUCUAGUGCUUUUGGUAAAUAAUGCAUCUAUGUUGUUAAGUCGAUUCUUUUAAAUAUAUUUCCUAUUCAUAUCAUCAUUUUAUUGUCUUUGUUAGAGUCAUAUCAUCAUUUUAUCAAAACCAAAAUACUGAAAUCUUGGAAUUCAAUUCUUAUUUAGGUGCGCCUAUCUUCGAUUUUGAACUCCAAGACAUUUUUUUUUUUUUGGCUCCACUCAAAGACGUGUUUGUUGUAGUCCGCUAAGUUUAGAUAUUUAUUUCUAUUAAAUGAACACUUAAAACUAUAUAAUAGUAAUCCAUAUUUCGCUGAUGUUAAAGGAUCGUCAUUUUUGUUUAUUCGCCAUAAGUAUGGGUCGUCUUGUGUAGACGUUACGUUGACUUGACAAUCACAUUUUUUUAAAAAAAGAUUUACGAAAUGUACAUUUUUAUUGACUUUCAUCUUUGGAAGCUUCGUAUUUUUCAUACGGAUUAUAAUUAGUGGUUCCAAUUAAAAGUCAGCCCUACGAUGCCUAGUUAAUCCCAAUCACACAUUUUCAUUGUUUAAAUUUGUAAAGAACUCGUUAAAUGUUUCGCUCGUCAUUAACAACGGAAAAUACGAAAAUCAUUGACAAACAGAAAAUGAAACUUUGGAACUAUUUUUGAUCCAUGAAGAAUUUGAUUUUUUGUCAAUUGAUUAUAAAAAUUAGAAUGGUUUAGAAAUCCAACCCCGAAAAAAAGAAAGUUUACAUAAAGAGUUCUCAUGAAAAACCUUUCUACUUUAUAACAAUCAUCAAUUAAAUAAAUGUUAGUACAUUUGAUCAACCUAAAUCUUUAUGCCAAACUUGUGCUUAGACCCAAAACUCAUCUUUAACACUGCGGUAACACAGCUUAAGCCAUGCAUGUAAUUCAUAAUAUUUUACAACAACCUUACCAACGUAUUAAAAAAAAAAGAACUAACUAAAAUGUUGAGAAAAUGCAACUAAAAAUAAAACGAAUAAAUAAAUAUAAAUUAUUGACACAAUUGCCAAAGAUAAAAAGAAAGUUUACACAAAGAGUUCUUAUGACGAAACUUAUUAUAAACAAAAAAAAAAACCAUCUACUUUAUAACAAUCAUAAACUAAAUAAAAGUUAAUUAGUACAUUUGAUCAACCUAAAUCUUUAUGCCAAACUUGUGAUUAGACCCAAAACUCAUCUUUAACAUUGCAGUAACACAGCUUAAGCCAUAAUAUUUUACAACUACUUAACCAACGUAUUAAGAAAAACGAACUAAGUAACGACACAUGAAUCAGUUAUAUCAACUGAAAUGUUGAGAAAAAACUAAAAUAGACUAAAACAAAAAAUAAAUAUAAAUUACUCAUAUUUUAGAAAAUUAGAGUAACGCAAAAAAAAAAACCAUUGAUAUUUCCACGAGAACAAAACUGGUUUACUCUUACUUAAAGUCAAUAAAACAUUUCUCGUCAAAGACAUACAUAUUUUCAACGAUCCUAGGACCACAAAAUAGUUCAAGCUGACAAUAAAAAAAAAUAUUUCAAACUUCUUCACAAGAAACAAAGAGGACGAAAAAUUAACAAAGUGAAAUGGACACAUAAUAUGCAUAGGGAAGAUGAUUUUAAAAGAGAGGAUGUAAUUUGAUUGGGCAGCUAUUUAAUACUUUUUUCAUAUAGUUUGCACAAACGUCAAUUUGAUUGCCUAAACGUCAAUUUCAUUUUGAUUCUAGAUAUGUCAAAUAGUUUUAUUUCCAACAAGGUUGUAAGUAGUAAUAUGGUCUUUGAAAUAUUUUUAAAUAAGUCUUUUGUAGUUUGCUACAUAUUUGACAUAUAUGGUAUUUUUUAAAUAAAUAAAUAACCAAAUGAGAAUUUUGCGUAUAAUAUAGAUGUAUAUUACAAAAAGAUGUUAUUUAAGUAUUAUUAAAGUUAGCUACUAUAGAUUUUAAGCUUAUUUAUUAGUUUUUUUUUUUUGGGUAGUCAAGUGGUAUUAACACACCUUUUCUUUCCUCUCACUUAGUAAAAAAUAUAACCCACCAAAAAUUGGGUUUGGUGACAUUGAGGAUAUAGCUCGGCAAAUAAACUCUGGUCAAUCGAUCAUUUUGACUAGAUUUAUUUUAUUGCAUAUAUUUCAUAAAUUAAUAAUGUAAUGUUUUCGAUUUGUAAGCUCCGCUUAUGGUCGGUUUACUAUUAACAGUGGUCUCAAAAACUUGUUUCUGAUCUUAUAAAUCAUUACGUGAUUUUUUUCUUUGUUAAGUCUCCACUCAUAUGAUAUCAAAAAUUAUUUUCUGGUAGGUUAUUUAUUCUAAAAUCGCUUCAUCUCAACUAUUUAAAAUUUUUUUAGGAUGAUUGACCGAAAAUAUAAAUGUAUUUUGAUGGUUAGAUAGCCAAUCAAAUUCUUUUAGAUAAUAAUUUUCAUGUACCAUCAUAUUUUCUGAAAUCGAAGUGUUACAAAUAAAACUUUAAAUUUAAAUUAUUAGGUUAUAUAUUGUAACAAUAAUCUUUUUUUUUGGUAGGGGGUACAAUUUAUUAGGUUAUAUAUUGUAACAAUAAUCUCAUAACAUUUCCAAAUACUAUUCAAUAUUUCAUUUACAAGGACUUUUAAUAUGUAUACACGGCAAUAUCAUAAAAUUAUGGUAUUCGAUUUUCAUAUUCAGUUAUCCAAAAUCUUAGAUUUAUUUCUUCUACUCAUUCUUUCUGACUAUAUUUGUUCAUAGAUAUAUCUUUGCAAGGGUGAUCCAAAUUCCCCAGUGGAUCACCACAUACGUAAAUUUAAUUCUGUAUCAUAGAGCUUAAUGUAACUAACAUUUACACAUUGUCACGAGUCAUGCACAAUCCGAACAUAACCCACCAUUCGUAUCAUCGUAUGCAUGGUAAAAUAGAAAAAAAAAAUCCAUAUGCAAGAAUCUGAAAAUAAGACGUUGGUUACAAAACUUAUUUCAUUAAAGAGGUUGAAAAUAGCGAAAUAGAUUGCUACAAAAGUAUACAAAUGGGGAAGACGGGAAAUGUUUAAAAAAAAAAAAACUAUAAACUCUCACAUGUUUAUUAUAUCACUUAAACAAAUUCAGAUUUAAACAUGAAAAUCUAGUUUACAUGCAUUUAUUCAAACGGUAAUGAUUUUAAAGAGAACACUGUGCGCAUGAGUAGUAAGGAUAACUGCUGAUAUCGUAUCGUUCAAGCACAUUGGAAGCCAGACGGAAGCCUUCUGUUACAAACGUUGAGAAGAACGCUAAGAGAUAUAGGAACGUUAAGGUUGAUACCGAGAACGUUAGCCCUAAGAGCAGUGCAGAGGCAAAUCGCAGCAUCGAGGUCAACCAAACCUUGGAUGAGCGAGCAGCAUGGCUGAGCUGAUGGCUGUCCCAACUGCACGUUAAGUAGACCGCUUAGGACAUUCGCACAUACACCGAGUCUGAGAGCAUCGAUAGGACAGUUUCUAGAUGAGCCUGGGGUGCUCGGAGUUGGGACCGAAGGAGUUGGUACGGAAGGAAUUGGGACCCUAGGAGUUGGGACCCUAGGACUGUGCUUAGGACUUGGGUUGCAUUUACAAUCAGUAGCAACGGUUAAGGUGAAAAAAAGGAUGUUGAGGGCAAAGAAAAGAGCAAGAGAGGCUGAGUUCUUUGAAGCCAUUGUUAUUUUUCUUCAGUGUUUUAAGGAUUAUUGAUU